UCUUUUUUUUUUUUUUUUGGUGACCAAUCACACCUUAAUAUGAUUGGUGGCGACUCCAAAAUUAUUUAUUAAAAUAAAAUAAACGGGGAGGUCGGCCGCUCCGCGUAGCGAUCACGUCGCGACAUAUAUAUAUAUAUAUAUAUCAAACAGGGCUCAUUUCCUUUCAAAAAGAGUUAUGUAAUGACAUGAAACAUCACAAAUAAAAGUUGGAAAAAGAGGAAUAGAAAAAUUAGAAAAGAAAAGAGAAGGAUUAUCACCUUUUGUAAGAAUAUGGUCCCUUUUGUCCCUUUCGAAAGAAAUGUAGGAACCUAUUUUCCUCAAUUGUUAAAUUUCAAUAUAAAUAAUCAAAAUGAUUGUAAAUUAAAAUAUUUAUAAAUAUAAUAUAAUUAAAUAAUCUCAAAAUUUUCUAUAUAUAUUUUUUAUAAUUAUUUUAGUUUAUUUUAUUAUAUUUGGAAUGUUAUUUUUUCUUCCAUUAUUAAUUUUUUAGGUAAUUAAAGUGAAAGAUUUGAUUCAAGUACUAGUAAUUGCAAGGUUUUUAUUAGCACCCAUCGCUGGAAUUGUUUAAAUAUAAAAUUUAUAUGUGAAAGGAUUAAUUAAAGAAUAAACUAGUUUAGGGUAAUUGACUCACGGAGUGAUCUUCAUCCUACGUAUAAUAGUGGUGUUUGAGCAACAAUGUUGCUAGCUAGCUAGCUUGUGAUCUCUAUCUAUGUCUUCAUAUAACAUUAAUACUUCUAUUGAUCUCAAUUUUCCUCUAUGCUUCUAUCCGUUUAAUUAAACCAAUCUUCGUGUUAGUUUAGAAUAAUCAUAAGUUUUGAAUUAAUUAAUUUUUAGUGAUGACUUUGUUUCUCCACCCCUCACAAAGUUGAACUAAAAAAAUUGAUUAAUAACCGGGGUUAUCAGUCCUUUAUUUUCUUCAAAAUAAUAUUUACUUAUAUUACCCUAAUGUUUAAAAUUAUAUCCUGAAAACCAUGUGAAUAACACUUAAAAGAACAAAAAGGCAUUGUUUGAAAAAAAUUAUUUAAAAUAUAGAAUCUUUUGAUUUUCAAAAGCAAAGAUUCAGUAAAGAACAACUUUGGAGAUCACUAUCUUUUAGAUGUGAUGUGUGGAAUAAUCGUCCCUGAAGUGGGAGUGAUACAGAUGAUAUACAAAAGAAAAUAUCAGAAAGCACUAACAAUUAAUGAUGUCUUUAAUACUCUUCUAGUGAAUCUAAUUUAUUUCCAAGGACUCUACCAUAUGUGAGGAAUAUUUGACUGCAUCCAUUUUUACGAAGUCUACUUAAUUGUAACUUGUCCUAUGAUAAAUAUUAGUAUUACACAAUCCACAAUCAAUUAGGCCUAGUACUUGGGAAGUUCUCCAAAGAGCAUAUACAGUAGCAAAGUAUUUGAUGGAUGAUAAAUAGAAAUAGGUUAGAUUUUUUUUCUAGGGUUUGCAAUUGAAGAGUUAAUUUCUUUGAGGAACAAUAUUCACAAAGCAAGAGGGAUCAAGAGAUACAUUAAGACAUCUAAACUAAAUUGACACAUCUCUAACACUUUCAACAAAUUCUAUAACUGAAAGAUGUAUUAAUUACAAUGAGAGAGAACAUAAUGAAAGCCAGAAGGAAGCUUGGGACAGUACAUAGAGUUAGAGCUAUACAAGACGAAGGCUUCCAAUUUAGGAAAAUUUUGACAAGGAUAACAGUAUAUCUAAUUUUUAAUAGGAAUGUAAAUUUGAAAACUUGCAUACCCCUAAUAAUCUGUAGAUACAAAUUUAAGUACUUUUAAAAUUUAAUUUUAUGAAUCAAUUAUACAUUAAACUGCAGAGAGCCAUACUAAACACUUUUCAAAACCGUUACCCAGUGAAAUAAUUAAUUCCAAGAACCAUAAUAAUUAAAUAUGGAGUAAUUUUGUAUAAUAAUCAAGUUGAUGAUUGAUUUGUUGUGAAAUAUUUAUGCUCUUGUCUUGUCAUUUCAAAGUACUGUAGCUUUAAGUGGAUGGUUCUUUUUCCCUCCGAUGCAAAUUCCAAAUUCCAAAUCAACUCCAAAUAUCAUAAAUUUAUUCUUCGACAAAUAAAGAAAGAGUACUAUAUAUGAUCAUAAAAUUAUUUGAAUUGGAAUCAUUCAAAUUGUUUGUACUAUAUAUGAUCAUAACACAGUUUUUUUGCAUAGGCUACACUCAUCUCUACCUUAUUAUUAGAAGGUAACCUGGUUAUCAUUGAGCAUGUGAAAGGUAAAUAAUGUAUUUAAUAUAAAAAUCAAGAUCUCUCUAAUUUUUCUUCGACGUGAUAUUCUUUAACCCUAGUUAGUGGGGUACGCUAAGAAAAUGUAGUAUAAAUACACAAAACCACGACCACCAAAGCUCACAAAACAAAACCCCCAUUCCUCCUGAACCUCCUUCUCCAAAGAAAAAAGAAUGGCGUUCCGUUCAGUGAACAAUCUUCAAUUCUGGAAGGAUGACAUGAGGAGAGCUUACAGAGAGAAAGUUGGGAGUUCAAGAAGAAGGCGUAUCAAAAUCCGCGACAUCAUCGACGUCUUAGAAAUCGUCGGACCCAUCAUCCCUCAUUUCUUCGGUAGUAACUCUCUCAGUGCCGGUCCCGACAACUACAGUAAUUAUGGUAAUAACCACAUGAAUGGUAGUUAUGGUCGUCGUGACGAUGACAUGCAUUCUUUCCACUGUGGCGGCGGCGGUGGUGGCCGGUUCGGUCUUGACAUGGGUUCUGGUGAUUAUGGGAAUGAAAGCAGGCACUACGGUGGACGUGGAAAUGGUAACAGUCAGUACGGGAUGAGGAUGGCUCUUGCUGAAGACUAUUAUGAUCGUGAAAUCACCGAGGAAGAGUUUGAGAGGCUUCUUGACUUUGCUGAGCAGAGUCAUAACAAUAAUUCCAGAAUGUACUGAUCAAAAUAUAAUAUAAAAAUUAUAUGUGUGGGACAAAAUAUAAUAAUAUCAACCCCUUCCUUCUUGUAAUCUACACCACUUCUACUCUAUUAUCCUUCUAAUAAAAUUUAAAAAAGUAAUAAUGGACUGCCUUGCUACUCCUUUUUCUUUCUUUUUCAUAAUAAAAAAAAAGUUACUUGAGGUUUUUCUUUCGAUAAAAAUGUUAGAAAUUAAAAAUUUGCAAGUGUUAAGUAAUAUAGGAUUUAUAAUGGCAGUGAAUAUUAUUAGAUAAUAUGAUUAUAUGAAAUUGGUUUUAAGUUUAUCUUAAAUUUAAUUUAGCAUUGUAUUAACUUCAACUAAUUUAGAUUUAUUGAACUUAAUUAAAUUUGAAAGACUAAUUUAAAUUUAAAAACCGUUAGCAAAUAUAAUAAUUAAAUUUAAAGCAAUAGAAUUUAUCACACUUGCCUAUAUUUACAAUUUACCAUUAUUUACCAUUUCUUUUUAAUUAUUAUUUCUAAAAUAUUUUUAUAAUAGUUAUCCUAAAAUUUAUAUAAUAGAUGUCAUUGAAAAUUCAUCUAAAAAAAUUUAUACACCCAGAAGAGUUCGGCCCAUUGAUUGAAGCAGCCUUCUUCCGAUCAUGUUUAAUUUUAUCACUCUUUUCGCCUAAUUAUAUAAGCAUUUCGUAUGAGGAUGAGGGAAAGACAUUAUUCAUUAAAAGCACCUGCAUCAUAUUAGGGAGAGAGUAAAGUUAUUUUUCGUUUUUAAAGAAAUAAAAGUCUUUUUUUUUUCUGUUGAGGUGUCAAUUAGAGAUUUCAUAUCACUUGUAGAAUACGAUGAGGAUGCUAAAAAUGUAUUAAUGUAGUUGAGAGAUGAUUUGGAUGCUUCUGGUGAUUCUAUCAUUUAGUGUCUUUGUUGAAAAAUAUAUGAGGAUUUUAACUUCUUAACGUUAAACUAGAAAAAUAUCCUUAAAUACUAUGGACUAAGAGAGAGGGUCAAUGGGCUUUUACAUGCCAAAUAUACAAACAUGAGAGAACUAAAUAACAUAAAAAGAAAAAGGAAACCGAGGAUAUAUAUAUAUAUAUAUAUAUACGUGAGGACUAUGAACACCGAUGAACAACCUUUGAUUUUCCAGCCACGGUGUAUACUGUAUAACUUGUUUUGUUGUUAUGUAUUAGACUUAUUUAUUUUUCAAAAUAUUUAUGUAUAAUUGCUUUUAAGAGAAAUGUAGUUGAGAAAUGUAUAAUUAUUUUUGAAAAUAUAUAUAUUCAAACAAGUGAUUUGAUAUAUAUAACAGACGAUGCUUUUAGGAAACUUUAGCAAAGUUUAUUGCAUAAAAGAAAAUAGAGUAUUUUUAUAGCAUCUCUAUCACUUCAGAAUAAAAUAUGACAGCAUGAUCUUCCGCGUGGUUUAAUUUACAAUUUGGAUCAACAUUGAAACUUCAAGUUUCGUAAGAUUGUAGGCAAGGGGUUACGACUUGAUCAUAUUUUAAUUUAACAGUAUUGGUGGAUCUCAUGAAGUUUUGAAAAUGUCAACACACGCUGUAUUAUUUCCUUAAUUAAAUGCAUUUAAUUAACACAUUUCAUUAAGUUUUGAAAAUGUCAAACAAUAUUCUUUCAAUUCAUAUUAGCUCAAAAACUUCACAAUCACACUUAGUGAGUUUUCUAAAAUAGCUUGAAUUCGUUAAUUAAAUAAAGGGAAAUUAUCAAACCAGAUUAAACUUUUUUAUGUCAACAGAGUGAUUUAAGAUAGAGCAUGUAGUUUAGGGCUGUUUAAAAAUAUAUAUUUAUUAACUUCUUUGGUACUUAAAAUUUAAAAACAAUUAUUUAACUCAAACGGGUUGUUUUAUUUAAUGUUUUAUUAUACUUCACAUUUUUUUUUUUUAUUUGCCAAUUCAGUUGAUUUUUUUUAUUCUAAUUAAGUGGCAGGGCCUCUUUAUAAACCUUAUUAAAAGGACUGAUACUAGAAUUUACUUUUUGAAAAAAAUACGUUGGAUCAGUAGGUGCACUCGGACAUUUCUAUAGAUAGACACCCGCUUAGCAUCCAGACACUCCACUAUGUGCAUCUAGACAAAAUACUAAGACCAAAAUUAGACAUAUAUCAAAGUGGAAUCAAGAAAUAAACCAUUAUAUUCUUGGAUUAUUAUAGUUUGAUUAAAAUAAUUUAUUUUUGUGGUGUAGAUUAUUUUAGUUUGAGAUAUAAUAGUAUGUGUUCAAUAUAGACUAUUUUAGUUUGAUAAGAAGUAAAUAGUAAACAGUAAAAAAAAAUGAUAAAUAGUAAAAUAGUAAAAAAUGUAGUAAUUAAACAAAAAAAUAUUUUAACAAAUUGAAAAUUUGAAAUAACGUUUACCAUAACUAAUUGAAAACUCUUAAAUACUAUUUAGUGGAAGAAAAAAGGUAGCAUGUUUGGUGCAUUCAAACAAACUCAAACCAAAUAUCUCUCCAAUCAAUUUUCGUACAAUUCUCUCUCCUUUUCUCUUACUCUUCUCUACCUCGUAGAAUCAAGAGAAAUUGUAUUAGAUGACAAGAAUAUUUAAAAAAAGACAAUAACUGACACUUUUUUUCUUUUGUAUAUUAUGAAUAUGACAAAUAUGAUUGGUAAUUAGUGAUACUAGAUAAUUAUCAAUUUUCAAAAUUUAUUAUUCUAAUUUAGAAAAUAUAGUGAAACGAAUUCUAUAAUUAUAAUUAUAUAUAUAUAUAUAUAUAUUUUGUUAUUUUUUUUGGAAGGAUUCCUAAAAUUAAAUAUAAUAUUCUCUCUCCAAUAUUCUCUCCCUUUAUUAAAUACUAACAUGUGUCCUGCAUGUUAAUUUUUUUAAUUACAAUUAUUUCCCAUCUAAGUAAACAUAUAUUAUUUAUAUUUUAUUGGCUUUUUUAAAAAAAAUUAAUUAUUCUUAAAAUAUAAAUAAAAAGGAGACAUCACCAACACUUAUUUUUACAUUGACAUAAAAUAAAUAAUUUUUAAUUAAACAUAAUAAAAAUAAAAUGUAAAAUUACACCUAUUUAAAAAAACAUUUUACUUUAUCCAUCAUUUCUCCGAUAUUUAAAGUCACGAUGUCAUAAAACAUAUUAUAUCAAACUAUUUCUAUCAAUUAGACAUAUCAAAGUUUAAGGAAAAUUCUCCUAAAAAUUGGCAAAGUAUUACAAUUUCUCCUAUCCGUGGUAGGAUAUCCUUUGAUAAAAUAUUGCUUUUUUUUAAAAAAAAAAGAUUAUUUUCAAAUCUAUUUAGAGAGUUUCACAUGGUAAAGAUAACAUUUUGUCUCUAAUAGAAAUUCUAGCCAUUGAAGUUGGUGAGUAAGGAGACUUUGGAGGUUUUACUUAGCUACUACAAGAAAUUAAGUUUUCACUCACGUAGAAAAAACGUUAUUAAAAUAUAAAAGAACAUUGUUAAAAAUAUUAAGAACAUCAUACCAUUCGUUGCUAAGAUUGUUGUAAUAUUCUGUAGCUAAAAAUUUCAGCUACACAACAAAUGCACACGCCGCAAAAUGUCUGCUUUUAGUGAUAUUUGUGCAUUACUAAAUACUUUUAGUAACAUAUAUGUUUUGAUACUAUUUAUCUUUUAUAGUGACCUAAAUUAAGUUAAUUUUUUAAGAAAAUUUAAUUUUCAAUCUUUCUUUACAUAGUUUUUACCUCUCUUAAAUAUAAUCUUAGAAGGUAUUUGGAAUGCAAAAAGUGAGUUAUAUAUUAUAUAAUUUUAGGUUAUUAUAAUUUGCUUAGAAUAGUUUAUUUUUUAGACGUAAAUUAUUUUAAAUUGAGUUAUAAUAUUAUGUGUUGAUGUGUAUGCUAUUUUAGUUUUAUAAAAAUGUAGCAAACAAUAAAAAGAUGAACGAAUGUAAAAUAGUAAAAAAUGUAACAAGUAAUUGUUACAUUAACGAAUUGAGAAUUUUCAAAUAAUAUUUAUCAUUCAAUUUUCAAUAGUAUUGUGUGGAGCAAUAAAUAGUUAUUAUAAAGUUUGAUAAUGUUUGCCCCAUAACCACAUUUUUAUGUAUUAAAAAAAACUGAAAUCAAAUAUCUCUCACCUCUUAUCUUCCGAUCUGUUCCAUAAAAUCAAAUAUAAUAUUUUCUCAUUCCUCACUUUCUUUCUCUCUGCAUUCUCUUUUCGUUUAUUAAAUAUUAACAUGUGUCGGGCAUGUUUAAUUUUUUAUUUUUAUUUUUAAUACACCAUAUGAUAGAUAUCGGUUUUUUAAUACACUAUAAAAUAAACUAAUAAACUUGUGGAAUUUUUUACUAAUUAAUUAAUUAUGACUAUUAAUUUUAAUUAACUAUUGAACAUUAUUAAGGGUACAAAGAAAUUAUUAUCAUCAAUUACCAACUCUAUAUAAAGACUCCUUCCACAAAGAAAAACUCAGGCACAAAUAAAUUGUUAUCAUAGAUAUCAGAGGUUGGCCAUUUGGCAAAGUACGCCCGCUCUCGAAUAUAUCAUUGAAAUGGCAACGUCGAGGUCUCAAUUGAAGUUGACUAGGGACGAGGUUAGGGAGAUCUUAGAAGAACAUGAUGUGGACGGUGAUGGUCGCCUGACUAAGCAAGAGGUGAUGCAAGCCCUGAACUCCAUGGGUGUUAUGAUGUCGUUUCAGAAAGCUCACUAUGGUGUUGCUUUUGCUGACAAAGAUGGAGAUGGUGCAGUCGAUCUAGAAGGUGGUGAGAUUGAUUCGCUUGUUGACUAUGUCAUGAGGUUUCAGGCCUCAAAGGACGUCCCUAAAGAUGCCAGCCCAGAAGCCUUGCCAUGAUGGUGAAUCGAAUUGUGUAAUAAUCUUAGCUUAUUUCUAUUUUUUAUGUGUUCAUCUUCGUCGUCGUACCUGUUUUUCAGCCCAUAUUGUUUAUGUUACAAAUUGAGCUAUGGUUAUGCUCAAAUUGACAAUUAUCCACGCAUGUUUGUUGUCUACAAUAUUAUUGUGUCAUCGGUGAUAAAAAUGUCUUUCUUCUUGAAUCUACGGAUUAUUAUAUAAUAAACAUCCCUAAACUAAUAUUAAAAUUGUCAAAUUUUUCUGUUUCAUUAUUUCAUUUCAUGCAAACGUGUGAAUUAUUGUUUUAACUUUACACCGUAUAAAUAUAACUAUUAAUUAAAUAAAAUCUAACAUAAAGUUUACAAACAUUUACAAUCAGAUAAAGUUUAGUACAUAGAAGAAUAUUUUGAAUAUGUUAUUUAGUAUUCCGAACACCCAAAACUUAAGUGGUAUUCGAAUACUUAUUUUAUUUAUGAUUUUAACCAUAAAAUUAAGAGAAUUGUAAUAUAUAAACUCAUAAUUCUAAAGAGUGCUUCUUAAUUUAUAGUUUGAUAAUUUUUCUUUUUUAAAAAAACUUGCUAUCUCCCUGAAUUCAUGGAUCCGUGUACAACUAACACAUCAUUAAUCAACUAUAUAAUUGUAUCAAUUAUCUAUUGUUUACUUUUUUUUUUUUUUUGUUAAUUUUUUGUUGCCCAUUUCUUAACAUUGCAGGUAUAAAAUUGUAUUUGAUAACUGGCAAAAUUACAUGUUCAAAAUAUAAUAGAAAUGUUCUAAAUAAAUUAACGCCAUAAUGAACCAAUUAAAACAAGAAGUAACCAAAUAAAUGUGUUAAGACUUAAGAGUAUACAAACGGUAAAACACACCAUAUUAACAUUCUCAUGUAAGAAUACAAAUGUGUAUACAAAUCAAGGUCUUCACUGUUUGCAUAGCAUAAGCAACACCUCUUUGGAUUCAGACACAUGGUCUUACACUUUUUUUGCAUGACUUCUAUUGUAUUUAUUUUCCUAUGAAAAACUGUUCAGAGAAAGAUUUUUCAUUUCUUUGGAAUUGCUGAAGUCCAAAUUAUUUCGAAGAUUUUUUGGUGCUCGUUCCUUAGAUGAUGUCGUUGGGGGUCUUGUAAUGCCUUUUCUGCCGAGUCUGUGGAGAAAUCUCUGUUUCCAUUUUUUAUUAGAUUGGUGAGUUGGUGCCUUGCAGUGAGUUGUGUAUUGGAAGAAAGGAUUUUACAUUAUCCCAUAAAAUGAUCUCUCUAUCGUUUAAAAGCCUUCUAGGCUUUAUGUUCCAAUCAUUUGAGUUAGGAAGCCAGACUUCAUUUACUGCUUCAGUUUUUGAAUUGUGCAAAGCAUAAAGCCUUGGGUAGGAAAUGGCUAGGGGACUUUUAUCAUUCCAUCUACCAUACCAAAAGGAUAUGUUUUCUCCAUUGUUAAUUUCCCAUUUGAGGUUGCUUUCAAACCAUAAUUUGUUUUUGAUUAUGGACAUCCAAGGGGCCCUUGCACUACAAAACUUUCCAUGUGGUGGUAGAUCUCCAAUGUAGUUAGUCGAGUACUUAGCGCUGACGAUCUUCCUCCAUAAGGCAUUUGGUUAUGAUAAAUAGCGCCAUAGCCAUUUACAUAGGAGAGCAUUAUUUGUGUGAUUCAGCUUGGUGAUCCCCCAGACCUCCGUUUUCUUUUGGACUGGUGACAAUAUCUCAGUUGAUAAGAUGAGAUUGUGAGGACUUAGAGUUGUCAGAAUUUGAACCCCAAAGGAAGUUUCUCCAGAUUUUUCAAUCUUUUUUUAGACCAUUGAAGGAGCUUUGAAGACUGAAAGUUGAUAGGUUGGGAGGCUACAGAGGCUGGCUUGAAGAAGAGUGUACCUUCCACCUUUAGAGAGUUGAAAAUAUUUCCAACCGUUGAGCUUUUUUUGGAUUUUUAAGAUUAUAUUGUCCCAGAAACUCAACGAGUUUGGUUUACCACCUAAAGGGAUGCCGAGAUACAUUAUAGGGAGAUUUUCAGAAUUUAUUUUAUGCUCGUUUUUCACCACAAUGCAACGAGAAAUUGAGACAUUGAUCGGACUUAUUGUUGAUUUAUUUUUAUUGAUGGAUAGACGGGAAGCCUUUUCAAAGAGAUUUAGAGCACACCUUAAAUUUGUAAUGGCCUUAUCAUUGUCUUCAACAAAGAUCAGAAUAUCGUCUACAUGAAGAAUAUGGUUUAGGUUGCUGUCAUUUUUGAAAACCACACCUUGAAUGGCUUUGGAGGAAUUUAAAUGAUUCAAAAUUGCACUGAGGUAAUCUAGAGCCUAAGACAAACAUGAAAGGAGAAAGAGGGUCUCCUUGUCUUAGACCUCUUCUAGGCAGAAUUUUGCCUUUUUGUUGGCCAUUCAAUAUGAUUGAGUAAUGAGCUCUUGUGAUUCACGCUUUAAUCCAAUUUCUCCAAUGAAGCCGAAAGUUUUUCUUGAUUAGCAUGAAAUCGAUAGAUUUCCAGUUAAUUGUAUCAAAAGCUUUUUUCAGAUCAAUAUUGAUCACAAAACCUGUUUUUUUGUGCUAGUUUUCCAGUAGUCUAACCACUUCAUUGGCCAAAAGAAUAGCAUCUGUGAUUUGUUUGUGGUUCACGAAAGCAAAUUGAUUUUCCGCAAUUAUGCUUGAAAGCGUCUUUUUUAGCCUCUUAGCUAACACUUUAGCAACAAUAGCUAAGUAGUAAGAUUUAUGGGCCUAAAGUCAGCAUGAGAGGUGUAGGCCUUUCUUUAGCAAUAAGGGAAAUAAAUGUGUUGUUGAUGUUUUUGUUUAUUACUCCUUUUGUAUGGAAAUCAUUGAAAAACUCCAUGAUAUCAUUCUUUAGUAAGUACCCGAACUUUUAAAGAAUUUCAUUGAAAACCGUCUAGUUUGGUCUCGAUGAUUGUUGUUCAUAAAAUCUUACAUUAUCAAUUUAAUCCAAAAACUUAAAUAAUAGAUAAAAGUAAAUAUAAUAUAUAUAGAAAUAGUUAUAAAAUAUACAAUUAAAGUUAAAAUAAUUAAAUAUACCACCAAAUUUUUUUAAAAUUAUAAAUAUAUAUAGAUGUUGCCGAUCUAUAAUUAUAAAGUAAUUAAAUGGAUAGAAACAAUUAGACAACACUACGUACAACGUAUUUUUCAAUUGCAUUUAUUUUCCAGCCUUCACCCAAUAGUCUUACAUUAACUAUAAAAUAAUUUUCUAACUAAAUUUUAUAUUUGUUUUGUUCAACCAUCUUAAUUAUUAUUUAUUAUUUUUUUUAUCAAGAAAACAGUCUAAAUUUAUUAUUCCUUCUAGAGACGAAGGUGUUAAAGAUAUAUAACUUCUACGUGUGAUAUACCAAUAUUCCUUGAUCUCCUAGACUCAUCAUAAAGUUUGAAAAAAUUAUUUCUUAAAUUUAAAUUAAUAUAAUCUCUUUAUAUUUACCAAUUCAACUAGUUACGACUUAGACUUUUUGACUAAUAAAUGGAAGGUUGAAAAAUUUUAACUUUAAAAAAAUUUGAAAUUGAGAAAACCCAAGAAUAAUUAACAGAAGAAAAAACCAUAGACCAAAAAUAAAUUUAAUUAGUAUUUAAGCUUAUGUUAUUAAUUGUAAUUAAUUUUUUUUAAAGGAACCCUAACCAUGUUUCUCAAUCUUUCUCUUCAUAGUCUUUGUCUCUUUCAAACGUUAGAAGGUGUUUAGGGACAAAAAUUGAUUUAUUAUAGGUUAAGGGUGUGUUUGGUUUAGAUUAUAAAGUGUUUAAUUUUGUCAAAAAAGAACUAUUAUGAAAAAAAUGGUAGUGUUUGGAAAAUUAAAAUAAAUGCAUUUUAUAAAAAUUCAUUUAUAAAAUAAUCUAUUUUGGAGAAGUCUUUAAAAACCAAAUUCACACGCAGAAAAGUCUAUAAUCAAACAUCAAGUGUUUAAAUUUUAAACUCAUUUUAAAAAAGUGUUUAAAAAAAAUGUAUCAUUGAAAAAUAUUUUUUUUAAUUCAAUCCAAAUAAAUACUAAAAUUAUUAUAGUUUGUGUGUGAGGCGUACAUUAUUUUAGCUUUAAUUAUAAGCUAGGCAAUUGAAGAGCAAUAAAUAACUCAUGUUUGCCCCCAAAACCUAUCACAUGUUAUUAUCAAGAUAACAUUAAAACCAAUAAGAUAAGACAGGUUUUCUAAUACCCUAUAAAAUAAACUAAUAAACUUGUGGGAUUUUUUACUAAUUAGUAAAUAAGUAUUAAUUAAUCAUGACUAUUAAUUUUAAUUAACUAUUGAACAUAAAUAUAUUAUUCAAACGUACAAAGAUCAAUUAUUAUCAACUCUCUAUAUAAAGACUUUCUGCAAAGAAAAACUAUCAUCAAUUACCAACUCUAUAUAGACUCUUUACGCAAAGAAAAACUCUAAGAAGACAAAGAAAUUAUUAUCAUCAAUUACCAACUCUAUAUAAAGACUUCUUCCACAAAGCAAAACUCUAAAGGCACAAAGAAAUUAUUAUCACAGACAUCAGAGGUUGGCUUUUUGACAAAGUACCCCGCUCUCGAUCGUAUCAUUCAAUGUCGGUGUCUAGAUCUCAAUUGAAUUUGUCGAGGGAUGAGAUGAUUAAGAAGAUUUUCGAAGAGUAUGACGUGGACGGAGAUGGAACCCUCACCAAGCAAGAAGUGAUGCAAGCCAUGGACGCCAUGGGUUUUAAGAUACUGUUCCAGAUGACUCAAUUUGGUAUUUCUUUUGCUGACAGAGAUGAUGAUGGUAAGGUUGAUCAAGAUGAGUUGGAGAAACUGAUCGACUGUGUCAUCAGGUUUCAAACCCGCAAGAGAGUCUGCAGGCGGCCGGUUAAUUCGACAGAAAAAACAAGAUGAUGAAUCGAGACCAUGUAAAUCUAUUUUCAAUUUAGGUGUUUGUUUGUUUUCAGUCAAUAAAUGGUUUAUGCUACCAUAAUUGAGCGCGUUAUGCUCAAAUUUAUGUGUUUGUUUGUUUGUUUUGUUAUACUUUUGUUGUCUGUAUGCAGAAUAUUGAUGUCUCUCCCUCUCUAAUUUAUGAAUAUAUAUGUUUCAACUUUACAUUAUCUAUAGAUACACACACUUCCGUAAUUUUGUUAAAUAAAUAGUUCAAAUUUGUAAACAAUGAAACAAUCGUGGCCAAAAUCACAGCAUCAAUCGCACAACCAGUCGUGUCAAAUUGUAGCUAUUAAUGUAAAUUCUGUAAAUUAGGCUAAUUACAUUACAUUAGGCUAAUUAUAUUACAUUCCUUAUUUAAUUUGGGUAAUUUAGCUAUUUAUGUAACAUUUGAUACUCUUGUAAAAUACAGAAAAUUCAUCAAUAAAAUACAAAAAGAAUAUUCCUUUCACAUGGUAUCAGAGCCAAAAACCCUAGAUCUACUUUAAUCGUCGUCGUCGCCGCCGACCGCCCGUGAACCGCCGCGUCUUCGUUAACUCCAAGAAGCGCUGCGCGCCAAAAAGUAGAUCUCUGUCCCGUGUGUUCAUCGCUCAGCACGUCGUUCCGUCACAGCCUCGGUGUCGCGCCAUUCCGUCAAGUCGUAGCCUUGGCGUCACGGCGUUCAAAUCAUCGCGUCGUCCUGUCCGUUCUGAAGCGCCAGUCGUCACCGCUGAGUUACAACCCCCUCUGCCGUUCCAAGCCGCACGCGACUCCUCUGUCUUCCCAAGCCGCACGCGACUCCUCUUCCAGUCGUGAGUGCAAGACGACGCCAUCCACCAGAUCUGACGAAUCUUCCAGGUGACUGUCUUCAUUCGUUUGUCUCUGCUCACAGCCGUGAACCUCUGUCCGUAAGCCGUGACCCUCUGUCCGUAUCCUGUCCAUUGUUGCAACCCAGCCGUGAAGACAAAUCCUGACCGCGAAUCCAGUCGUGUCCUUGCCGUCGCAACUCAGCCGCGACCCAGACAAGAAGACGCUCACCUGUCACGAAUCCCAGCCUUGCGAAUCCCAAUCGCAAAAUCCAGAAUCUGACGAAUCCAGUCACGAAUUAAUCGAAACUCAGCCGGAAAUUCUCAUUGUUAACCUCAACUGCGAAUCCAAAUGGAGAGAGACCAUGUCUUGAGACCCAUUGGUACAAUUCUUGAUGGUACAAAUUAUAUCACAUGCAUGGGCAAAUCAAAUGAAAAGUUUUCUUAUUGGAAGAAAACUAUGACGCAUUGUAACUGGUGACAUAACCAAACCAAUUGCACAAAACAAGGACAAGGAAGGAGAUAACAAAUUCAUUGAACACCUCGAAGAUUGGGACAGUAAUUAAAAAUCAUCAAAUUAUCACCUGGCUUGGUAACACCUCUAUUCCCGCUAUACAUGCACAGUUUGAUGCCUUUGAUGAUGCUAAAAAAUUAUGGGAUUUUUUGUCUACACGCUUCAAGUCUAUUGGUUUAGCCCAUUAUUAUCAACUGCACAAUACACUUGUAAAUCUAAAUUAGGAUAUUGGUCAGUCUGUCAAUGAAUAUUUGGCAGUUCUUCAACCCAUUUAGACUCAGCUUGACCAAGCAAGCAUCAGCAAAGAUCGUCUUCGCCUUAUUAAAGUCCUUAUGGGAAUACGCCCAGAAUAUGAAUCUGUUAGAGCUGCUUUACUACAUCGGAAUCCCUUACCCUCAUUAGAUGCAGCUAUUCAAGAAAUUAUGUUUGAAGAAAAGCGCCUUGGCAUCAAUUCUACUAAACAAUCUAAUGUUGUCCUUGCCAGCACAUACACUCCCAACAGAGCCUCAAAUAUGUUUUGGAAGAAUUGUAAGCUCUCUCGUCACAAAUUUAUUAACUGUCCUAAAAUAGAGUGCAGGUACUGCCAUAAACAUGGUCACAUUCUGGAUAACUGCCCUACCAGACCACCCCGACCUCCUGUCACUUCCACAAAAGAGAAAAAUUUUACUAAACCUGGUUCCUCAUCUGUUGUUGCUGCAACCUCGGAUGAUUCAUCCCUCAUUCAGAUAAGUGAUCUUCAGAGCUUAUUGAAUCAACUAAUUUCAUCAUCCUCUGCUCUUGCUGUCUCAUCAGGUAAUCGAUGGCUUCUUGAUUCUGCCUGUUGUAAUCAUAUGACCUCUGACUUUUCUCUUAUGUCUACUUCUAGCCCUACAAAAUCUUUACCUCCUAUUUAUGCUGCUGAUGGUAAUUGUAUGAACAUCUCUCAUACUGAUACCAUUGAUACUCCCAGUUUACAUCUUCCCCAUACUUACUGUGUUCCUAACCUGACCUUUAAUCUAGUGUCUGUUGGUCAAUUAUGUGAUCUUGGCUUAAAUGUUUCAUUUUCUCCCAAUGGUUGUCAGGUUCAGGAUCCGCAGACGGGACGGACGAUUGGAACGGGUCGCAAAGUGGGAAGAUUGUUUGAGCUCACAUCACUUCAGGUUUCAUCUCCUUCUUCCAUCUCUUCUUCAGUCACUUAUUCUGACACAUAUCAGUGGCAUCUUCGUCUUGGUCAUGCUUCUUCUGAAAAACUUCGUCAUUUAAUUUCUGUUAACAAUUUGAAUAAUCUUACUAAGUUUGUUCCUUUUAAUUGUUUGAAUUGCAAACUUGCUAAACAACCUGCCUUAUCUUUUUCUCAAUCCAUCUCUAAUUGUGAUAAACCUUUUGAUUUAGUGCAUUCUGAUAUUUGGGGUCCUGCCCCAAUUACUACUGUUCAUGGUUAUCGCUAUUAUGUUUUAUUCAUUGAUGACUACUCUCGAUUUACAUGGAUUUACUUUCUAAAACAUCGUUCUGAAUUAUCUCGCACAUAUAUUGAGUUUGCUAACAUGAUUCGCACUCAAUUUUCCUCUCCCAUCAAAAUUCUUCGCACUGAUAAUGCUUUGGAAUAUAAAGAUUCCAUCCUUCUUUCUUUUCUUUCCCAACAGGGCACUAUUGUUCAGCGCUCUUGCCCUCAUACCUCUCAACAAAAUGGACGUGCUGAGCGCAAACAUCGUCACAUUCUUGACUCAGUACGUGCCCUCCUUCUUUCUGCCUCUUGUCCAGAAAAAUUCUGGGGUGAAGCUGCCCUUACAUCAGUAUAUACAAUCAAUCGUCUUCCCUUCUCUGUUCUUCAAAACACCUCUCCGUUCGAAAGACUAAAUGGUAUUUCUCCCGACUAUUGUAAACUCAAAGUUUUUGGUAGUGCCUGCUUCGUUCUUUUACAUCCUCAUGAACACAAUAAGCUUGAACCACGUGCCCGUCUCUGUUGUUUCCUUGGCUAUGGCACCGAACACAAAGGAUUUCGUUGUUGGGACCCUCUUUCCAACCGACUCCGGAUAUCUCGGCAUGUUACCUUCUGGGAACACACUAUGUUCUCUCGUUUGUCCUCCUUCCACACCUCUUUCUCUAGUCCUCAAUCUUUCUUUACAAAUACAUCUGUCGACAUUUUUCCUCUCUCUGAACCCACCUUGGAUACUGAGCUUACACAAUCGCCACCUGCUACUCCUCUUCGUCGCUCUACCCGGGUAAGAGAACCUCCCACUCAUCUCAUUGAUUACCAUUGUUUUUCCACCAUUGUUUCCCUUGUUGAACCCACCUCUUAUCAAGAGGUCAGUACUAACCCAGUAUGGCAGAAAGCAAUGGAUGAAGAAUUACAGGCUCUUGAAAAGACGCACACUUGGGACUAUGUUGACUUACCUCCCGGUAAAAGACCCAUUGGUUGCAAAUGGAUUUACAAAAUCAAAACUCACUCUAAUGGAACUAUUGAACGUUAUAAAGCUCGGCUUGUUGCAAAAGGAUACUCACAAGAAUAUGGGAUUGACUAUGAAGAAACAUUUGCCCUUGUUGCCCGGAUGACAUCUGUUCGCAGCUUGUUAGUUGUUGCUGCUGCCAAACAGUGGCCUCUUCUUCAGAUGGAUGUCAAAAAUGCCUUUCUUAACAGAAACCUCUAUGAAGAAGUGUAUAUGAAGCCACCUCAGGGCACUUCUCCUCCUCCCAACAAGGUGUGUCUCAUUUGUCGCGCUCUAUACGAUCUAAAACAGGCUCCACGAGCUUGGUUUGCCACGUUUAGCUCCACCAUUACUCAACUUGGAUUUACCUCCAGCUCUCACGACAAUGCCCUUUUUACACGACAGACAACUCAUGGUAUUGUUCUUCUCCUUCUUUAUGUUGAUGAUAUGAUUAUUACUGGUAAUGAUCCACAGGCCAUAUUCGACCUACAACAAUAUCUUGGUCAACAUUUUGAGAUGAAAGACCUUGGACCUCUCAAUUACUUUCUUGGUCUUGAAGUCUCUCACCGUUCAGAUGGUUAUCUGUUAUCUCAAGCGAAAUAUGCAUUUGAUCUGAUAGCACGCUCAGGAAUUACAGACUCCACCACAUCUUCAACAUCGUUAGAUCCUCAUGUCCAUCUAACUCCGUUUGAUGGCGUUUCUCUUGACGAUGCAAGCUUGUAUCGGCAACUUGUUGGCAAUCUUAUAUACCUAACAGUGACUCGCCCAGAUAUUGCAUAUGCUGUUCAUAUUGUCAGUCAAUUUAUGGCUGCUCCUCGAACAAUUCAUUUCAUUGUUGUUCUACGCAUACUUCGCUAUGUCAAAGGCACCUUGGGACAUGGUCUCCAGUUCUCCUCUCAGUCUUCCCUUGUGUUGUCGGGAUAUUCUGAGGCUGAUUGGGCGGGGGAUCCUACUGAUCGACGAUCCACCACAGGAUACUGUUUUUACUUAGGUGAUUCUCUCAUCUCAUGGCGUAGUAAGAAACAAAGUGUUAUAUCUCGUUCAAGUACGGAAUCUGAAUAUCGUGCUCUGGCUGAUGCUACAGCUGAACUUAUAUGGCUUCGGUGGCUCCUUGCUGAUAUGUGUGUCCCUCAACAGGGUCCUACCCUCCUCCAUUGUGACAAUCGUAGUGCCAUUUAGAUUGCUCACAAUGAUUUGUUUCAUGAACGUACAAAACACAUUGAAAAUGACUGUCACUUUGUUCGUCACCACCUCUUAAGCAACACCCUCCUCUUACGUUCUGUUUCUACUCUUGAACAACCUGCGGAUAUCUUCACCAAAGCCUUGCCAUCUAAUCGAUUCUGUCAAUUACUUACCAAACUCAAGUUGAUCGCCACUCUACCACCUUGAGUUUGAGGGAGGGUAUUAAUGUAAAUUCUGUAAAUUAGGCUAAUUACAUUCCAUUAAGCUAAUUAUAUUACAUUCCUUAUUUAAUUUGGGUAAUUUAGCUAUUUAUGUAACAUUUGAUACUCUUGUAAAAUACAGAAAAUUCAUCAAUAAAAUACAGAAAGAUUAUUCCUUUCACAGUAGCAAAUCAACGUACCAUUUGACAGCAAAAAUCAAGCCUCAACAUCAUCAAUAUCAGCUAGCCCGAUACAUAAUUUGCUAUUACACCCAAUUCUCACAGCCCAUAUUCUGUCUAUAUAAUUAUUUCUCACAUAUUGAUUCUAAAAAGCAGUUGGAUUAUCAUACCUUUUGUAGCACACCUUUAUGGUCACGUUAUUCUUGGAAGUAUUUAACUUCAAGAAUAAUAGGAUCACUUUUUUCCUAAAAAAAAUACAUUUCAAGUUCAUUGUUGAUUGGUAUAAGAUUUAGAUCUCUUGUACUUUGUAGUCAUUUCUCUCUCUGAAAACAAAUGGUUUAUUAAGGUUCUUCAUUUCAAUCUUUUGUUUUUGUUUUUUAACUUCUCUUUUUAAAAUUUUAAUUUAUGUUUGACAACUGGUUUUAGUUUAUUCAUGUUUCUUGUAUUUACCUCCGUUAAUUUUGAAGCAGGAUUGAAGUGGUUGCUUUGGAUCGUCUUCCUAGUGAAAAUUUUCUCUUGCAUCUACUCUCCUAACGUAUCUUAUAGUUGCAAUUAAAUUUUAAAAAAUGUAUAGCAACAUUUAUAAAAAAAAUAUAAAAUUACAAAUAUAUAUAAAGUAAUUAAAUCCAUAUAAACAAUUGGAGAGCAGGAGAGGAUAACUUAUUUUUCAAUUGCAUUUCUUUUUUGGCGAUUCAAACUCUCUAUGAGACUCUUUCUUCCCAUGAACUUUCCUUUUCCAGCCUUCACCAAAUAAUCCUACAUUAAUUAUAAAAAUAUUUUUCUACCUAAAUUUUAUAUAUAUUUUGUUGAACAGUCCUAAUUACUAUUUUUUGGGAUGAAGAAAACAGUCUAAAUUUAUUAUUCCUUCUAGAGACAAGGGUGUUAAAGGACAUAUCAACUUAUUUGAGAGAUAAUAAUACACUCCCUCUAAUCUCCUAGAGACUCGGUAUAAAGUUUUAAAAAAAUAUUUCUUGAAUUUAAAUUAAUAUAAUCUCAAUAUAUAUACCAAUUCAACUGGUUAAGCUCACUUAUACUAAGACUAAUAAAUUGGAAGUUGAAAACCUUUAACUUUAAAAAGUUUGAAAUUGAGAACACCCAAUAAUUAAAAGAAGAAAACUUCGAAUAGACCAAAAAUAAAUUUUGUUAGGUAAAAUAUUAUUACAAUCACAAAUAAAAAAUUUCUGGUAGACCUCAAUCACCAAGAUAAAACACUCUCGAAACAUUAUAUUAAUUGCAGAAACUAAGUAUACCAGACCUCAAUCACAAAAGACAAACUUAUUUUAAUAUUUUGUACUCAAACUUUAGUUUACAUGUUCAAAGUUGUUUUGAAAAUUAUUCAGCUGAUAUAUAUUGUGAACUUUAAAUUGGAUUAUUGUUUCUUUUCUGCAGGUAUGUUCCUCACUUGCGCAACAAAAAAGAAAAAAGAAAUCAAACCAUUUUCCAUAAAAAAAAGAGAACAUAUUGUAUAAAAAUUAAGUUUUGGAUUUUUAAAUGUUAAAUGUUUAAUUGAACAUCUUUACCUCUAUCAUACUCAGAGAAAGAGGAAGAAAAAAGAAAGACCUUGAGUAGAAUAUGGGGUUCCAUAAUUUAGUUGUACACAAUUUCCUACAUAAUUUAAUCCCAGUUGUUUUGACUUUGAUAUUAUAUUAUACUACUGCUAAAAUAACAUUUUAUAUAUCAAAGUGAUGUUCUUCCACUCUUCUUCCCUCUCCUCCCCCAAAGUCAAAACGAGUUCAUAACUUUGAGCAAUUCAGCCUAAAGCUUAUUAUUAUAACAAUAAAAGAGAAUAUCUUAAUAAGUAAACCUAUUAAUUACUACUAAAAUGUGAUUCAUGGGAUUUUGAAUGAGAGCUAUAUAUAACUAUAUAUGAUGGUGAUUAUAUUAGAGCCUUAAUUAUACAUAUAUGUUAAGGAAAAUGAAGAUAUAAUUAGUAAGGGGAUAUGGGUGGAAGAAAGCAUUGGGUUUCCAGUUUUGUGGGGUUUGUAUUUCUGUUGGUUUUACUGAAUCAGCUGGUAGAAGCCAGUGCAAUAAGUUCAUCAUGUAGGCAUAUUGCUAUUGGCGUUGUUACUGAUCAAAGUUCAAGGAUGGGAAGGCAACAGAAGAUUGCCAUUGAAAUGGCUUUUCAAACCUUCCAUUUCUCAACUUCCUUUCCAAAAUUGGAGCUAUUCAAUAAUGAUUCAAAUGGCAACUCGGCUCGAGCGAUAACUUCUGGUAAUUCAAACUUUUUUUUUAGAAUGAUAUGAACAAGUAUAUUAGAUCAACAGGCCGUGUAUCGAAAAAUCUCAAUAAAAUUGACAAAUUCACCACUUUUAUCCUAUUCCAACACUGAUUCCAUUAAUGCUUGUGUUUUUAACCUAAUCAUCCAUUUCACUCAUGUAAUUUAUUUUUGAAGGUUUAUGUUAUAUAUUUUUAGACACUGGAUUUUGCUAGAUUACCAUAUUAUUAUUUUCAUUUAGCUUUUUUCUUCUUCUUCUUCUUCUUUUUUUUGUUGGUUUGUGGAUAUAUGUAAUUUGUCUUUUAGUGUAUUUUUACAAGGGUGUUGACUCGAACCAAUUUGAAACAAAAAAAAAUGUUUUCUAAACUAUAUAUUUUUUAUUUUUAAAAUUUAAUUGUAAAUUAAAUAUUUGAUAAUCGUUUUCGUUUCUCAAUUUUAAAUUUGAAGAAACAUUCCUAAAGAAAAGAAAAUAUCUCUUAUCCAUUUAUGACUCCCUAAACAUAACUGAUUGUGUUAAGUCGUUUUGAUGGUUGAGAGACCCGUCCAAUUCAAUUACGUAUCACCCAACCUCAUUUUUAUGUAUUGUUUUUCUUUUUCAAAAUUAAUUCUUCUUUUUAUAUUUUAUAUAUUAUUUAAGUUUUGAAUUUUAGAUUUUUCAAUAGAUUGAUUUAUAUAUUAUUUAAUUUAAAAUUUUAAAAUUUUCAUAUAAAUAUGUAUAUAUUAUUGUCCUUGUGAAUUUUAAAAUUAUAUAUAUAUAUUCUUUCCAUAUAUAUUUUCUGUUUUGAAUUUUAGAUUUCACAAUUAUUUUCUGCUUAGAACAUUUUAGAUGUUUGCAAUGUAUAAAUGAUAUUUUGUUCAUUUAGCUUUAUUUAUAUAUAUAUAUAACCUUAUAUCUAUUAGUAAGAUGAUAGUAGCCUGACAAUUUAUUAGACACUAACACUUCUUUUUUAUAUAUGUAUUCGAAUAUUUAUUUGAAAGAUUUUUGGAAGUGGAGUAUGAUGAAAGUGUUAAUUAAAGAAUAUGCGAGCACUAGUUGUGAUAUUUUUUAAUCCACUCUCUAUCAUAUCUUUCUCUUAAAAAUAUCACUUCUUUUUUUAUGGAUAUAGGAAUUUUAAAUUCUCUAUCGCCAUGUAACAUUUUGAAAUUAGACUUUUCAUUUAACCCAUAAUGUUAUUUGAAUAUUUAUAUUUUCCAUUACAGCUUUGGAUCUGAUUGGCAACAAAGAAGUGAGCACAAUUCUUGGGGCAUUUACUUUGCAAGAAAUGCAAUUAAUGUCCGAAAUUAACAAAAACUUCAUUGAUAUUUCCAUAAUAUCCCUACCAAUUGCUGCUUCUCUUCCUCCUCAUAAUAAUAAUAAUCCACUCCCACUUCCUUCCUUUAUUCGAAUGGCUCACAACAUCACAUUUCACAUCCAAUGCACAGCCGCCAUUGUCGCCCAUUUCCAAUGGCAUAAAGUUACUCUCAUCUAUGACAAUACAGACGACAUGUCCUUCAACAUGGAAGCUUUGACUCUCCUCUCCAACCAACUUGGAGAUUUCAAUAUAGAGAUUGACCAAAUCUCAUCCUUCUCUUCUUCAUAUUCAGAAUCUAUGAUUGAGGAAAAGCUCAAAAGCCUUGUGGGCCGUGAGAGGAACCAGGUUUUCAUUUUGGUGCAAUUUUCUAUCGAAUUGGCCAAACUCCUUUUUCACAAAGCAAAUAAAAUGAAUAUGAUGGAAAAUGGAUUUGUUUGGAUCGUUGGAGAUGAGAUAUCAAGUCAUCUUGAUUCUUUGGAUUCAUCAACUUUUAAUGACAUGCAAGGUGUCAUUGGUUUUAGAACUUAUUUUGAUCAUAACAAAAAUUCUUUCAAGAAAUUUAGAAGCAAAUUCCAUAGAAAGUAUGUUUUGGAAUAUCAUGAAAAUGAAGAGGAGGAGAUGAAAAAUACGGAGCCCACCAUCUUUGCUCUUAGAGCUUACGAUGCAGGAUGGGCUGUGGCACUUGCGAUGCAUAAAUUGCAAGCAAAUUUUAGCAACAAACAAUUGUUGAAGGAAAUUUUAAGGAGUAAAUUUGAAGGGCUUAGUGGGAAAAUAGGAUUCAAGAAUGGUGUCUUAAUGGAACCACCCACUUUUGAAAUUAUUUAUGUGGUGGGUAAGAGUUACAAAGAGAUAGGAUUUUGGAGAGAAAAGGUUGGAUUUUUCAUCAAUUUGAAUGAAAAUAAUGAUCAAGAAAUCAGUAGUAGCAUUAUUAUUGAUGAAGGAAGAAGUAGAAGUGAUAAUAAUAAUAAUAAUAAUAAUAAUAAUAAUAAUAAUAAUGUUGUUUUGAAAUUACCAAGAUUUGUUUUGUGGGAAGUAAAUUAUGCAGAAACAGGAGUAGUGAAAGGAAGGACGAUUAAUAUUGAUAAUUCAAAUUCCGGAGGAAUGGGAAGGACAUUAAGAAUUGGUAUUCCGGCCAACAAUACAUUCCGAGAAUUUGUUAAAGUUUCUUACGACCACAUAAAUGCAAUAUACAUUUCUGGAUUUUCCAUUAGUGUAUUUGAAGCUGUCGUAAAGAAUCUGCCUUAUUCAUUGCCGUAUCAGUUGAUCCCAAUCAAUGGUUCUUAUGAUGGAUUGGUAAAGCAAGUCUACACAAGGGUAAGUACGAUAUAGAUAAUAUAUAUAUAUAUAUAUUGGAUUAUUGCAUGUGAUUCUUGCAUCUAUUCAUUGUAUCCUUCUUUGUAUAUAUAACAAAAAAGGUGAUGUAUUUAUAUGAACAAAUUAUAUAUAUGGUGGUUUUUAUUAGGGUCUGGAUGCCGCGGUGGGAGAUAUCGGAAUAUUUGCGGACCGAUUUAAAUAUGUUGAUUUCACAGAGCCAUAUAUGAUGGGUGGGCUUGUGAUGAUAGUGAAAGAGAAGACAAGAAAUUGGAAAGAAAUAUGGAUAUUCAUGAAAACAUUUACAACACUAAUGUGGAUCAUUUUGCCAAUCUUCCAUCUUGUUAUAAUGUCUGUUGUUUGGAUUGUUAAGGAUCCAAAGGAUGGAGAAUUAUCAGGAGUUUCAGAAAUGAUAUGGUUUGCCGUAACUGUCAUCUUUUUUGCUCACAGUAAGAAUUUUAAAGUCAUGUUUGAUAAUCAUUUUAGUGUCUUUUCACUUCUCAUUUUAGAAAACAAAUUUUUAUGAGUGGAUGCAGGAAAAGAAGUGAAAGGUAAUUUAGCAAGGUUGGUGUUGGGGACAUGGUUGUUUGUAAUUCUUGUGGUAACUUCAAGUUUUACUGCAAGUCUUACAUCUAUGAUGACGGUUUCAAGAUUUGCACCAUCCGUUGUUGAUGUUGAAACAUUAAGGCAAAUGAAUGCAACAGUGGGGUGCAACUAUCAUUCUUUCAUUCCGAGAUAUUUGAAUGAUACAUUGAAAAUUCCACGUAUAAAUAUUAAGAACUUUGUUGGGAUUGACGAUUAUCCAAAGGCAUUUGACAAUGGAGAAAUUGAAGCAGCUUUCUUCAUCACUCCACAUGCUAAGGUCUUUCUUGCUAGGUACUGCAAAGGCUACAUCACUGCAGCUACUUUCAAUCUCGGUGGCAUUGGUUUUGUAAGUUCUCAACUAAUAAUCUACUUCCAGAUGUUUUGCAGUUUUUAGAUUUAAGUUUUGUUUCGAUUUGUUUUACAAGAUUUCAAGAUUUAUACUUUUAAUAAGUUUGAUUUUCUCACUGAAAUACUCCUGGUAUGAAUUAAACCCAAAACUUUAAAAAUCAGAAGGAUUUAAAAAAAAAUAGUUAAAGGUGCUAUCUGAGCUGCAUAUAUUUUUUGUGCGAGCAGCUUAACCAGUUAUAAUAUGUCAUGUAGCCAAAAAAAUCUUUUAAAAAAAUUUAAUUGACUUUUUUUUUCGUUUGUUGGGAUAAAAUAUGAGCUACAAGCUGCACUUAACCAUUGUUUUCUUUUCUUUUAUGAUGUGGAUAGAAAGACACGGUAGUCUAGCACUACACUUGGUAUUUGGUAAUAAUAGGAAAUUUUGUUAUAUGUUGCAGGCUUUUCGGAAAGGGUCAAGUCUAGCAGUGGAUGUAUCGACAUCCAUCGUGGAACUUAUAGAGAGAAGAGAGAUGCCACAGUUAGAAACAAUGUUGUUGUCAACCUUCAAUUGUUCUUCAGGGAGCCAAGUUGAUGGGUCUACAAGUUUGGGGCCUUGGCCUUUCGCAGGUUUAUUCAUCAUUUCAGCAAGUGUUGCUGCUGGAUCACUUCUAUAUUUUUGUAUAUGCGGACCAAAUCACGAUAACAAAGACAAUAAUGCAGCAGCUGGAGAAGUCCACAAUGGCAAUAACAAUGCAGCUGGACAGGAACCCAUGGCCAAUGGCAAUAACAAUGCAGCUGGACAAUUCCAACCCAGGGCCAAUCGCAAUGAUUAAGAAUUAUCAUUUUUGUAUUUUAUUUUGUUUUGAAUAAUUCUUUUUCUCUUAUUUCGUAUCGGUAUAUCGUUGUAAUUUUUAAACUUCAAUCAUAUAAGUUUAUAUACUAUGUAGUCUCUAACUUUGGAUAUAAAACCUCUAUACUCUGCCAUCUCGAAAUCUUCAUUGAUUUACUAAACAAACAUCGAUCUCUCCACAAUGAGAAUACAUUUUUUUGUUUUACUUGACCAACAUAUAUUUACAUGCAGGAUAGAAUAUUGGUAUAAAACUAGUUCAUAAAUCUUUUCCAGAUUUGACAUUCUUUCGAGAUUGUUAUUUAAUAUUUGGAAAGACGACUUUUCAUGUAACAUCCUUUUUACUUAUUUUUCAUGGUAGGUGUACAACAAAAACCUUAAAAAUUGAAAAGCUAAACACACCAAACCAAAUAGAUUUAUUGGAAAAACAAUUAAGAUAUAUUAGUGCACCUCCUGAUCUUGUUCUCCUGCUUGUUACUUAACCUAUCAGUGCACCAAGACUAAUCUCUCAUAUAUUCAAAAAAAAAAAAAAAAGAACAGAACAAUGAGGUUGGGAAAAAGGCUCAAAAUCAAGAACCAAACCAACAAUAAACCCAACUUAAUAACAAUUUGAUCCAUUUUUUUCACUUGCUGGACAUCGGUUUUGGUUCCUUUUCUACAUAAAACCAAUUUGUUUUGUUUUGUUUUUUGGUUGGACUCAAAAUCCAGAAAAUCGAACCUACCUGAUAUUGCUUACUGAGUAUAGUUAGUUGUAGACUCAUUUAAUACUCCAAAGAUUUUGGGUUCUCCCAACUAUCUUUCUAAUAUAAUGUAUAUAUAUCCAUCAAGAUGGAAGUGUGUCUCUUUCAAUUCAUCUCAUUCUUGAAUUAGAGUUUUUUAUUGAACAAGUGAAUAUUAUGUUUAGAUUUCUUAAACUUUGAUAUCAAAUUUAUCUAAGUACGAAUUAGUUCGAUCAAAGACAAACAUCUUUAUUAAUUCGUCAUGUAAAUAUUUAUGAAUAUGGAAAGAUUUAUAUUAGAAGACGAUAACAUGACAAAUACACACAACAAUAAACCAAAGAGAGGAGCAAUAUAUAUAUAUAUAUAGUAAGAGUUGAUCAUGCGUCCUCCAAGAACAAACUCUUUAUUCUAGUUUUUCUUAAUGAGUACGUACUAGAUAUAUAAUAUGAUGAUAACAUAGAAAAGUACAUAAAUUUUACAACUUCUUCAUUUCUUGGUCUUGUUGAUUACUCUGUCAGCAUACUCAAGAACUUUAUCAAGUUCAUCCAAACAAAUAAAGCCAUCUCCAUUAGCAUCAGCCAAAUUCAAAGCAUAGUUAGCUUUGCUAAAUGAAUUGAAGGAACCACACAUGUUAAAAGCUUUUACUAGCUCACUUCUAGUGAGAUAACCAUCACCAUCAAUAUCAUGCUCUAAGAAAAUCUCCCUCAUUUCAUCUUUACUAAGCCUCAUCUUGUACGGCCCACAGGACGCCUUCUCAUCAGGAAUAUUAACCUUAGGUUCAACUUUUUGAGGCUUAAUUUGUUGGUGAUGGUGAGAAGCAGCUUGCUCAAUGAUCAAAGCAGUUAGCUCAUCUUUGGUCAGGAUUGAAUCACCAUUCUUGUCAUACUUUUUUAUCAAAUUACUUGCUUCUUGUUCACUCAUGUAAUUACCUUGGGCUGGGACAGGCUGAUCCUUAAGAGGAUUUGUAGACAUUGUUGAAAACUAUGUGGGUUGUGUUUUGGGAUUUGAUGUGGAGUUUGGAGGUGAUAGAAUUAAAUUAAUGUCUUGAAAGGAUUAACACACUUUAUAUAUACUAACUUUAGAAGCAUAAGUAUUUUUUUUUUCAUGUACAAAUUGGAAUCUUAUUCCUAAUUUCCUCUACUCCAAAAACAAAAGAUUAAAAAAAAAAGAACUUAUUCCUUACCUAAUAAAUCUCUUUAUUCAUUAAGAUAUAUAUAAAGUUCCUUUUUUUAAAAAAAAAAUUAUGGUUAGCAAAGGAAAAUUAUGGUUUAUAUAUAUAUUUUGCAUGUGGAAUGAAAUAAGAUUCUAAAAAGGAAGAUAUUCACAGCUAAUUAGCAAAAUAAACAAAAUAAGAAUAAAAUAUAGAAUCUCUUUGUCACGGUCAAAUAAGAUUUUUUUAGUACAACAGUAGUUAUUAAAUGGUAAUUAAACCUUCAAUAUCUUUGACUUUAACAAAGAUACUACAACAAGUUUUUAGGGCAAUUUUUAGAAAAAGAUACGUUGGAUUAGUAGUGCACCUGGAACAUCUACACUAGGUGGAUACCCCUUAGCACCCUCAUCAUUCCCGCUUCAUUAAAUAAUCGUCAGAUCAGAACAAGAGGCAGAAAAGUAACAAGGGCUAGAGAAAAACCCAGUAGUUAUUAUACAAAAGCAUUCAAGUUUAAAGCAAUAGUGCUAGUGCUAUAAUUUUUAUAGAAAUAAGAUCUACUAGUCUAUAAAUGUGUGAGAUCUUUGACAUUUUUCCAAAUCUCCCGAGUAGUUCUAUCUUUGUUCUGGAAGAUCCUGUUGUUUCUCUCUCCAACUAGAUGAUACAUAACGCAGCAGCAAUCAAAUUGAAAAUGAUGAUGCCUUUUUUGCUUUUUUUCAUUUGUGUUGCAUAUGUUUUGAAAGCAAUAGUCCCGAGUAGUUUCGAUGGCAAUUUAGAACUGCUAUCAAAGUUCGUUUUGUCAUCUUACUCUAUAUUGACAUGCAAUUUCAAUUUACAGUACGUGUCAUCACAAAUAUAUGAUGUUAGUACAAAACUGAUAUAUAAAUCUAAAAUUGUUGUACUAAGACAAUGCCAUUUUUUUCAAUACCAUAAUUAUGGAAACAUGAAUCGAACCUUCCGUCUCUAAAAUAGAAAGUAGUUUUGAUUACCAUUGAAUUAAUUAAGUUCAUGUUGACUCAUGUUAAUUACUCUUAAAACAAAUUUUAAAAAUAAUUGAAAGAAGGUUAAGGAAAUAGGAAAUAAAAAACGCCAACCUUAUUUUGGUUUCUUGUUUCUCAUAACUUCUGUUUCUAUUUUUGUUUCUAUUGUUACCAUUUUGCAUUUGGCAAUUUUAUUUUCAUGUUUUUUUCUUUUUCAUAAAAAAAAAAAUUAAUGAAACAAUUGUUUUAUAUCAAAUUUGUUUCUUAGUUCUCUAAAAAAUUUGUUUAGAAAAAGUAAGAGUUAACUUUUAAAAUUAAAUAACUUUAUUAUUGUUAUAUUUGUUUAUUUGUAAUACUUGUAUUUAUUUCAUAAAAGAGCAUCCUAUUUCCUGAAGAGAGUUAACUUUACUACCAACCUAACUUUUGAUAUUUCAGAAUUUCUCCAAUUUAUUAAUCAUCAUUAUCUUUUGAGUGAAAUGAUAUGAUGUACCUCUUGGAAGAUCAAGAUGGAGAGUAAAAUUAUAAGACUAAAAAAUAUUAUUUUCUAAAAACAAUAAAUUACCAUAUGGUGAUUAGUUUUAAUUGAUACGUAUAGUAGAUGGAUAAAGCGUUGCACAUAAAUGUUUUCAAAUUAUAAUAUUACAUACUUAGGGUAAUAAAUCUCAAAACAACCAUAUAUUUAAUUUAAUUUUUCUUUUCAUUUUUGACAAUUUCCUAUUUAUUUUAAAAUAACAAAAAAUAAUAUUCGUAAAACAAAGGCUGCACUUGUACUUGGCUGAUGUAGAAUAAUUGUCUUCUAAAUCUGAAAGCAAUGAUGAAAGCAAAUAAUUCUCUCUAAAGAUUCUUGAGUUCGUUUUAAAAAUUAAAUGUAUCUAGAAAUUCCAACUUUAACUAAUAAUCCUACUCUUUAUUACUAUUAUUAUUUACAACUUUAAGGCUAAUGUUAAGGACAGAUCUUUUAACCCCCCUGAUGCCAAGCUAAUUUUUAGAAACUAAUAGGAGAAAAAAAAAAUGAUAUGCAAACAUUGGAACAUGCAGGACAUGAACUUUUACUUGAUAUAUCUGUUAAAUAAUUAAAGAAUCAACCCAAAUGUUUAAGUUAAUGAACUAUGGUACAUUUUAAUUAUCUCAUUUAUAACAAAAAAAAAAUUACUUGUAUAUGUGUCUAUAUCACUAGACUAAUAGAUGAUAUAAAGUGGGGAAAUUAUGUAAAAAUAUUUGAAUAAGAAAUAUUUCUAUAUUUCCAAAUGCAUAACGUUAUUUCCCUCUAUUUUAGCAAUUAAUUGGAGUUGUUUUGUAAUAAAUACAAGCUAUGUAAUAUGAAGGUAAGAUCUUGCUAACUAUCGAGUUUGGAAGAUUAAUUUUAGUGUAACAUGACAACAAAGAUCAAAAAGGUAAUUCAAAUAAAAAGAUAAAGAGGAAUAUAUAAAAUAUGAUAUAGACUUGGUUAGAAUAAGAUUCUCUCUGUCUUACUCAUUUUAGUAAAAUGGAUGUAGAAUACGGUUCUUUUAUUAUAUUGUUAUUAUAUUGUUGAAAAUUAGAAUUAGAUUCUUUUUAUCUUAUAAUAAUAAUAAUGAAAUAUUACAAACUUUGUUAUUUUUAACUCCGAAGCAACUUUUCUUUUUACCUCACAAAAUAAUACCCAUAUCUUUUAGGUUCCAUACAAAUAUUAUCUACACAAUACAUCAUCUGAAUUUAUUUAUUUAUGAUGUAAUGUAUGUGCGUUACUUUUUGGUCUAGAAAAAUGAUGAAGAUGUUAAAGUUACAUAAAUAGCAAAUUAAAAUGUUGAAAUUAUAUUUAGCAAAAUUCAUCUAACUUUCUCUAAUUCAUUUAAAAUUUUUGUUAUGAUUUAUAAAUAGUUUCAUUUCUUGAUGCUAUUCCUAACAAUUUUUCCUUUAUAUAAUAUAUAAAAUUAUGCAUUAUAUUGUAAUUUUGGGGUAAGGUAUUUUGUUUAUUUUAACAAAAACAUUGCUGUUGCAGGGGUCGUACUUGGGCAAGGGUUUUGAAAACGAUGAUAGGUUGAAUUUUGAGAUUUAUGCCUAAUUUUUAUAAUUUUCUGUAAAAAGCAAUGUUAAAUAUAUAUAUAUAUAUAUAUAUUAUCAUAACUCUCCCAUAAAAUAUUUAGCUUAAAAUUUAUUUAGAGGACAUACAAUUAAAAUAAUUUUAUAGGUUAAUUACUCAUUUAAAACCAUAAAUUAAAUAAACCAUCCAUGGGCGGAUAUAUGUGUACAAUAACUUUCAAAUACAAGAUUAAUUGUUUUGAUCAUGUUCAUUGAUUGGAUUUCUAUUUUGUGUGAUUUGUGAAUUUAUGCUAUUGUCAAUUCAAAGUAUUUGUAGUGUGUGAGUGGAUAGCUUUUAUCCACAUUACACAGAUUCUAGAUUUUUCGACUGAAUUUAUGCUACUCUAUAUAUAUAUAGUCACAAAAACAGAAAGAAGAAAGAAACGUCACUUUUUUAAAAAAAGAGAUUUGUCACGUACGUGACUGUUGGACACUUGGGUAAUUGCAUAAACAUAUCUCUACAAAGCUAAUAUUGCAACGCAGAGCAAUCAACAUCCUCUUUUGAAAGCUUUCUCAAAAUAAAAGAGUUUUAGAAUUACAUAAAUUAUUAUAUUGAAGACGUGAUUCGUUACCUAAUUUAAAAGACAAGUACUGAUCUACAUUUCAUGCUUUAUAUGUAAUCUGAGAAUGUUGAUAUUUUAGAAAUUUUUUGUUAAUUUUUAGAACAGACUCUCUUGUCAGUAUGAUCUAUUUUUUUAUAAAUUUAACAAGGAAUUAAGAAACCCUCUUUGAUUAACAAAACCACAACACUAAAGGAGAAGAAAUUAGAAAGAUCUUACAAUAAGUGGCAAACAAAAUCUUAUUGUAGAUAGCUCUUUCCAUCAUCUUGUUGAUUGAAGACCCUUGGUGUCAAGAAUAAAAAAUUUCAGCUCUAACAAACCAGAAUGGAUGCUCAAACGGCAUCGCUAGACAGAAGUGGGUUUUCUUUCCAAUUUCUCACUUUGGUGACGUUUGAAUUCUCUUGAUCCGCUGCUGCUGCUGCUGCAAGAUUAUUUACAAAAAUAACCUAAUUGAAACUAUCCAUACAAAACUAAUUGAAACUAAGCCAAUAUAUAUAUCUCGUGAACGAAAUUAAAACUCGAAAUAAAAAGAGAAAAGAAGAGAGAAAUGUACAAAGUUUAAUUGAUUGGAUUUUGGAUACCUUACCCAACACAGAAUAGUGCUUAAACAAAAGGGAAAGAGAGAAGUAAUGAUCAUGUGGAAAAGUUUUUCUUUUUCUUUUUUUGGAGUACUACUCAUUUUAAUAUAUAUGUAAAUUAAAGAGAACAAAAUGACGAGAUUUUCUUUACUUCUAAUAGAAAAAAUAUUGUAUAUUGUGUAGCCUUUGCUGCAUCGGAUUAAAAACUAUCACGUAGCACUUUAUAUUAUUUUUAAAAAAUUAUUAAAAUACUGAUUUUUUUUCUAUGUAGAAAAAAUAUUGAUGGAUAGACUUAAAGUUCAAUCCCUAUAUAAAAUGAUGUUUUAGUGGCGAUAUAUGCUUAAGUAUUGAAAUAUCAUCAUUAUCAAUACAUCUAAACUAAGUACUUUGAAAAAAUCCAUUAUCAUUAAAAUGAUAAAUAAUGAAAAUUGGUAACAACUUAUGCAGAUAAAAAUUGACACAAUACAUGCAUAACAUAUAAUUUACCAAGUAUUCAUGCAUACAAUUAAUGAAAGGAGAAUAUAUAUAUAUAUAUAUAUAUAUAUUAUGUUAACGAUGUUUUUUUAACAAAAUACUGGAGGAAGAAGGAUUUGUGGGUGCACUGUAUCUCUAAUUUGAGUGCUUAUAGAAAAAGUGAUUUGAGUUGAAAACUCUUUUUCCCUUACAAAGAAAUCAACAAUAUAAUAUCAUGUUAAAAGUUUCUACUAGUGUUCUAAUCAACAUGAAACAUAUUAAUUAGUUUAUACCAAUAGUUCAAACUGACCCAUAAUAUGUGCUAACAAUCAAGAAGACUAUAAUUUGAUUCUCCUACCUCUGUUUUACUAAGAAGAAAGUUAAAAGUUUAAUUCAAAAAAUAAAGGAAUGGCAAUAUCUUGGCUUAACUUUUUUUUUUUUUUUUUUUUGAGAAAGAUACUUUGGGAUACCAGUAGAACAUCUCUACUAGGUGGACAUUCCUAAACACUCACGUCAAACUCGCUUCAUUAAAAAUAAAGAGAUGAAUACAAGAAGCAGGAGAUACAAAAAGGGCUAGACGGAAGCCCUAUGAACCCAAACAACUAAAAAACGUUUAAGUUUAAAGCAAUAGAACUGGUCGAGUAAUUUUUGAAAAGAGGAGAACGACUUGUCUAGAGACCAGUUGUAGCUCGAAUGUCCUUCCACACAGAGCCAACUAGUUUUUCUUCCCCCUUGAAAAUCUUUUUGUUUCUUUCAUUCCAUAUAUUUUAAAGGGUGGCAGCCACUAAGUGCAGUUUGAUAGUUUGUUUUUUUUUGUUUUACCCUUUGUUUUGUAGAUUUCUUUGCACAGAUAAGUGGAAUUUGAUGGAGAUAGGAGUCGCCCAAGAUAACUUCAACUUUUUUCCAGAGCUUUGAAGAGAAGGGACAAAGGGAGAACAAAUGGUUUCUGUCUUCCUCGGCAGCUUUGCCAAGAAUUCACCAAGAGGGUUUUAUAUUUCAAGUUGGAGUCUUCUUUUAAGCAUACCCAUGAUAUUAAUACACUCAUAAAGGAGAGUCCAUAAACAAGAAUUUACACCUUUUGGGAUGGAUGAUUUUCAUACAAUUGCUAUAAAUUACCCAAUCAUUAUAGUUAACUUCUGCUUGGUUGUUGAGAGGUCUCUCAAGAUGGCCUAUCUCACUGUAUGAAAAGUUUUGCCCAAAUUGUAAUUUAGCUCGAUUUGAUCAAUAUCUAAUUGUUAAUGUUUAUUAGUAAUUAAUUAAGUAAUAACUUUUAGCUUGCUUUUAAUGUAACGAUUGUUUAAAUAAGAUUAGCCUAAAACCCACAUAUUAACUAAUAAUAGAUAUUAGAAGCCUUUUCCAUUUCGCAACAAGAUUACAUAAACACAAGAAGGACCAACUUGCUCAAGCCCAGCCCUUCCUUCCUUUAUUAGUGAAAGUCAAAAGCUUAGGAAACAAAAACAUAAAAUCAUAGGGUGUUGCCAAUUUUAAUUUCUAUCAACGCCUUCUUUUCUGAAACCUUUCGGCAUAAUCGAUGAGUUUGUCAAGCUCGUCUUCUGAGAUGAGGCCGUCACCAUUCUCAUCACAAUAAGCCAUGCCGUAGUGAGCUUUGUAGAAUGGUAUAGAGUGACCCAAGAACCCCAUGGCUUUGAUGAGCUCACUGAUGCUGAGGUAACCGUCUCCGUCGAUGUCGUGCUCACGGAAGAUUUCCUUCAUCUCUUCCCUUGAGAAAUUGAACUUGCUUACACCAGGAAGAGCCAUUUCUUUUGUGGGAAAAAGGAUAUAGCUUCGUGUUUGUUUAUUGCGUUUGGGGUUGUGAGUUUUGAGUGUGUGUGUUUUGGGGUAUUUAUGGAUGUACAAACAAAGGCUUUAUUCUUAUUAUAUCUUAUGAUAUGAUGGUCCCAUUAUAUUCUUACCUUAUGACAACAGUCACAUAUUCCACCUCAAAAACUUGCAUCUGGUCACCUUUCACUCAUUAUUUAAUUUUAUGGUUAACUAAUAAUCUUUUAUCUAGAUAUUAACAAGAGGGGAAUCAAGAAAUGCAUCCAAACAUCUCUAUUGGGUUAAUCAAGAAAUGCGUCUAAACAUCUCUAUUCGGUUAAUGUACCUAUUUUAGUUUUCAGGCUUAAAAUAACUUGUUACCUAAAAUGUCAAUAAAUGUACAAAAUAAUUUGUAUUUGUAUUGUUAGUAUUACUUGAUUGUAACACUUAACUUAUUGUUAUUUUUCUGAAAAACAAAAGUAGGUCAAAAUUUUGUUGACACGUUGAAUUCUGUGUAUGCUUUUUCAUGAAAACUCUAUUGAAAGCUUCUUUUUAAAAAAGAAAAAAGAAAAUCUAAGAUUUAUCCAUUUAGACAUUUAAAAGUAUAUAAUCUUAUAAUAAAUUAAAAGAAAAACUAAAAUAAUAUUUUAACAAAAUUUAUAUAUUUUUAAAAAAAACACGUACAAGUGAUACAUCGUCCAAAUAUCUUCACUAAGUAGACAUCUUCUUAGCAUCUUCAUUUGAUAUGUAUAAAAAAAAGUAAAACGACGACAAAAUAUGAGUUAGAGAUAAGUGCAUUAAAUAAAGAAAAUCAAUAACUAGUGAUGUUAAAAUUAAGUUUAUUUAGUUAAAAUAAUGUAACAUUUUUAUUUAUAGGCAUUUGAAGAACUUUCCUAUAUUUCUUUUACUCCCUGCUCUUGAAAAGAAAGAAUUCAAACUUUAAAUAAAAACCAUAUCAUUUUCCAUCAUUAACUUCCUAUUUUUUAAUUAUUAUUUUUAAAUAGAGCAAAAUAAAAAUUAUAAUAAAAUGUAUCUAUACGUGUCCUUAUCACCAACAAAUGGUAAAAUUUUAUUGUAUUUGUAAUUAUUUUCAACAAUUAUAUUAUUUAAAAUCAUUAUUCUUUUUGAAUUGAAAACUAAAGUAUUGAUUAAAUUUAUUGUAAUAUAUCAGCAACUUUUGAGGUCAUUGUUUCAUCUUUGAUCUCUCUCUAUGGAAGACCUAAAUUUGGUUCAAUUCAAAAUGAUUCUAUCAUUGAUCAUCUGUUCUUCUUUUUCUUCUAAAAAAGGCAUACAACAGUGUGUGAUGACGAAGGACCAAAAUUUAUGCAUACAAUACAGUGUAUAUAUACAUAUAUAGUAUGGGGUUAUUCUAGAAGAAAAAGAGAAUAUAAGUCUUUUUGUUGUGGCAGAAAUUUGGAAUCUGCAUGGGAUGAAAAAGGGCAUCUGCUUCUAUUUAUAUUAUAUAAUAUUCUUUGAAAUGACAAUAAUGGAGGGAAGCAUAAAUUUACAAUACCUCUCAUAAACAUCAAAUAAUUUAUAAUGGGACUCCCAUCUAAUACUUAGGGAAAGGGAAAAUAUUUCUUUACAAAUUAAAAAGCAUUCAUGCAGUUUUGAAAAAUGCAGAUCAAACGGAGGAAGUGCACUUUCUCAAUCUUUCUCUAUUUGCUAUAUUUGAAAAUAUGUUUUUAAAAAAAUUCAUUUAAAACAAUUACUCUAGAAAAAGGUUAUUGUUAGACUGAUGCUUUUGUAUCGAUAGAUUAUCUGUUAGAGUAUUUAAUAAAUAAUAUUGAUAUAAUUACAUUUUGGUAUUAGGUUAAUUAGUGUUAGUUUAAUUUAGGUAAUAUAGCCUAUCCGAGAUCUUAGUUUAUCUAAGCUUAUAUCAUUGUUGUAAUUGUUAUUUUAGAAACCCUAAUGAAGUUUUUCUAUCUCUCGCUCACUAUACUGUCUUUGUCCCUCUAAAAUUCUAGAGUUUUCAUGGCAUCAGAGUCCAAAAUUUUCUAAAACUCAAAACUCUCCCUUUUUUUCUUUGAAGUCGUCAUAGGCUGCAUGUAACAAGAAACUUAAAACUUAAAACCCUCCCUCUACCCAAACUCUCAAAUCACAUCACAGUAGUCUAUCUUCGGAUCUUUCUUCCACCCUUUUUGAAGAAUUGUUAUUUUUAACCUAACAAAGCUUUUACCUUAUCAGGCUAACUUCAUUUUUUAAAACUAAUUUUUUUCAGAAAAAGGAGUUUUUUCAAAAAUAGAAAAAUUUGUAUAUACACUCUAUAAAACAAAACUGCUAAAAGACACACACAAAAAAAAAAAAAUGUAUACUCAAAGUUCUAUAUUUUAUAAUUUCACUUUGAAAAUAUCAAUUUGUCCCUGUUAUAUUGUAAGUAAUUUCUAUUUCACAUUUUUCUAUUACCACUUUCCAAACCCAAUUUCAAAUUUGAAACUUACUAAUUUUUCUUUUGUUGGGCUUUCUUGUAAGGAUAGAAAAAUUAAUGGUAAAAAAAAGUUCUUACGUGGAAUUUCCCUUAAGAUUUGAAAAUUUUGGGAAAAUUUCAUAAAUUCCAACGCUAAACUAUGAACAGUAAAUUUAAAAAAUUGAAAACUUAAAAGAAAACUAUCCUCUUUAAAAAUAAAAAAUAAAAGCCUUAAAUUUAAGUUUAAAACAAUCACUAACUUAAUCUUACUGAGAAAAAUUGAAAUAAAAUUAAAAUAAAGCUUAUGAAAUUGGAAAUUGUUAUUUUAAAAAAAAUGGUAGAAUUAUUAUUUUUUAAGAAAACAUAAAUUUGCAAAUCAAGUGGACAGAUUUGGAAAAGAUACACUGUAGAAUCUACAGCUCGCUAUGUAACGUUAUUGUUCUUGAUCAUAAACAACACAACAAUUCUCGAUCGUCUUCGCUCAAGUUUUGCUUAUAAUAAAAUUAGUCAACCACGCUGUAGUAGCAAAUUUGUUGAUAUCAUAUAUCACUUUACAGUUGAUUUUGUUGUGAUUGGAUAAAAUUUCAUUGCAAGUACAUGUAAAAAUGGCGUAGCAGCAUAGGUUCAGUAAUACUACUCCUUUUUUAUUAUAUAUAAAAUUGAAUGACCCCAUUUUAUAUCUACGUUUGCAUAUUCUUACAUAAGAUCGAAUCCCUAAUGAUCUUCAAAUUUCAAUCCAGAAACCAUCCUUUGUAUUAUGUGAUAAUCAAGAAGCAGCUGUUCAUAUAGCCUCCAACUCAAUCUUCCAUCAAAACUUUGUAAAUUUUAAUAUAUGGGAGAUUAUUUAUAGAUUUCAGGAAAUAUGUAUAAUAUAAAUAAGUUUACGAGUGGAAUUUGUUAACAGAAAAGGGAAAAACAGUAUUGAGGAAAUUUUAAAAACAUUUUUUUCAUUUUUCUUGCAAAGUUUGAGGAGAAACUUCUAUACAUUGUUUCUUUUGUAUUAUUGAUGUUUGGUGCAUGUGAAACAUAUUUUUACCAAUAUAAAGUAUGUGAGGUUCUAAUUUUGUAAAUAUAUACUAAGAAUGUUAACAAUUUUACAAUAAGAGAGUUAUGUUCCAUUAACAUGUGAAAAAGAAAUGAGGUUAAAAAGUCAAACCAAAGUUCCUUUUUGAGCUACUAUAAAAUACUUGAACCAUGUUACGUUUUGUUUCAUCUUCAAACAAUCCAAUCAAACAAACAUAUAUAUAAUUUUAGUUUAAGAAUGUCUGUCUCUCAUCUUCAAGCUUGGGCUAAGAAUGAAGCAAAUGAGUUGAUAAAGAAGUAUGAUAGAAAUGGUGAUGGUGUUCUCACUAAAGAAGAGCUACAAUCUUUCCUUCGUGAUGCUCGUGGUUCAACUCAACUCAAUAAUAUAAGGAAUGUAUCGUCUAGCACAGUCCCAAAAACUAACGAAAAUCUUGCACAGAAGGUUAGCUCAAAUACUUGCAUAACACCAAAAAAGCAGUUGUUGGAUAAAGCUCAAGGUUCGUCGAAACAAUCUAAUGUACCUUUGAGUCGAGAGCAGAUAAAAGAGAUUUUUAAAUAUCAUGACAGCAACAAAGAUGGUUUUCUCAGCAUACGGGAGUUAACAAAAGCUUUCAGCUCUAUGGGAUCAAUUGUCCCAUUUUGCAAAGCUCGAUAUGCUAUGGCUUAUGCUGAUGUCGAUGAAGACGGUCUUGUCAGUGAGGCCGAGCUUGACAAACUCAUUGAUUAUGCCCAUAAAAUCAUCAAGAAGAAAUGAGCUUUCAAGGAUAAUUCUGUGUGUUCUACAUAGAGAAUUAUGUAACUAGAAGUAAAAUAUUAAAAAUAUUAAAAAUAAUUAAAAUAAUUAUUUAAAAUUAAAAUAUCAUAUGUUGGAAUUUUAUUUUUGUUGCAAAAAGCAUUGUAAUUAAAGCUUCUCAUUAUUAAUAAAAUAAAAGAGAUGUAUGUUGGAAUUAAAAAUCUUAAUCUGUUAUCGUUAAGUGUUAAUAUUAAUCUCUCUCUCUUUGUUAAUGAUUAACAAACACAUUAUGAUAAAUAUGGCCUUAAUCUAUGAACAUAAGCUCAAAAUAUUGAACCAAAAUUUAAAAUUUGAUAACUCUUCCCAAUUGAAUUCAUAGUUUAUUUUUUAUUAUAUGUAGAAUGCACUCACAAUAUGAUAUAUUACAUAUUUUUGGAUUUAGGCUGCCCUGUUUUUAAGUUUUAAUUUUUUAGAGUUAGAGGCUGGUUGAGUGGAUGUAAUUUACCUUGUUGUAAUUACUUCUUUUUUUUUCAAUGAAGAUUUGAUUCUCUUUCAACUUGUCUACAACACUAAAUAGGAAAUAGGAUAUAGAAAGGAUUUCAAACUUAUACAUGCAUGAAGCAGAACCUUUUAACAUUUAAAACAUGAUACUUUCCAAAUACUACGUGUAUAUUUCAUAUAAAAUCAUAACUACGUAUAACCAUUAUUCCAAUAUAAAACUGUAAAAAAUUGACCCUUUAAUCUCAAGAAAAGAAAUAGUCAAUUAAUGUUAAAUAGUAUUUAUUUUGACACAAUAUCUCUUUUCUACUUUAAUUGAAAUGACAAAUAUAUUCUAACAAACGUAAAUAAUGACUUCUAAUUUGUUCAAGUAUAUACAGACGUGUGUAUACAUGUGUAAAUAUGUGUGGGUGGGUGUAUAGAAAGAAAGAAGAAAAUCUCCAUCAAAUGUAUACAUUUAAAUAAUAAUAAUAAAAGAAAUAAACUUAAUUAUUGAGGAAUUCAGCCAUGUUCGUGGUGUAAGGAAAUUCCUUCAGAAAGGUAUUAAGGCAAAUGUACCAGCAUUUAAUUUGUACAUAACAAGGGAACAGAAGAUGGGAAUUUAUUCACAUUUCAAGGAAUUUUCCUCACUUUCUUCCUCAAGGGAAAUAAAUACAUAUCUUAUAGAACUUAGUUAUUGACCUAUGAAUUUAAACUACAUAUAUACUUACAGAACCUAAACUCUUGGUGGAUGAAAACACCAGACUGUACAAUAAUAUACUAUGUCCAGUAUGUAACAAAAAUUUCAACUUAGCAGAUAGCAGCAUGAAAUAUGAACUGAUUCUGCCGAUGAAUUUUGAUGGGAAUUAAUGUGGGCAAUCAGCAAUUGAUCCAGGAGUUUAAUAAUCUCUAUCAAUGAAUUUAGCAAGAAAAUCCACCUGGAUCGGAGCAAGUUACACCAACAAGAUUGUUGGAGAAUAUCAGAGAAAUGCUAAAAUUUCAGCAGAUGACAUAACAUAGGAAUUUGUAAAUCAGAAUCUACUAACCGAGCACAUUUAAUCCCCAGAUUCAAGGAUCACCAAUAAUGUAACGAGAAUCUUUUAGGCAGACAACUUUAAAAAUCUACCAAGGGAGGUGGCAGUUUCCAGUAAUUCCAUGAAUUGAAAUCCUCCUGUGAAAACAACCGAAGAAUUGGUUCAAUAAAAGUAAUUCAAGAAUUAGUCCAAGUUCAGUUUGGAGAUUAAGAACCUGCUCGGAUGAGGUCAUGGGAGGAAACAUCCCAUUGACAAGAGUGUGAAGAGAAGUAUAAGAUUUCGUGUCGACACGGCGGUUUACAACAACCUCCCCCUACAAGCAUGAAUUUUUUUAUGAAUUCUGAUGCUACCAAGUAAUAUAAGAUUAUUCUGUUUUUCAACUCAUAUUCAUGAAUCCCCCCCCCUAAAUACCUUGGGAUUAAUAAUGAAAAUUUUUCCUUUUGGAAUUCCAACUUUAAGGUAGCUAAAUUCAUCCGUGUCCCUGUUUCCAAACCCAGCAUAAAAUGGAUUGCAAUCUGGAGGAAAUAGUUCUCGAAUUCUCUAAAAGUUACAAAAAGCAGACUAUGAGCCAUCUUAUUCAGAAGUCAGAUCACAUGUAAACAUAUGAUAUUCAAAAUUUCUAAUUUGAGGGAUUGUAUCCAGAAAAUUGCUUAAUUCCAAGUAAAAAUACAUUUUUAACAGUCAUGCAUCGAAACUGCAGCUCAUCAAAGUAUACUUAUGAAAAUGAAGAAUGUAAAAUUUGUAUAAGUUUCAAUAUCAAAGAAAAAUAUCAACAAAGAUAGAAGAAACUAACCUCCAAGCAAGCAAUCUUGAACUCAUGAGGAGCCCGCCUAAUAACUGUGAAGGAGGAAAUGAGCUCAAAGGUAUUUAUUCACAAAUCCAAGCAUGCCUAGCCUAUUUAUAUGUUUUUCAAUUAUUGCAUUGUUAAGAACUUUUCUCUUCAAAUUAUGCUUACAACCCAUUCUCCACAAUUAGCCAGGAAAACUUCACGCACCCCAAAGCUAGAAUUAGGAGAUAGGUUUUUUUACCAGAAAGCUUAAUUUUAAGUUUUUUUCCAAGGAAAGCAUCCCCUGCUCUAUACCCUCCCUCUACCCCGGGCAUAUGCUUUCAAUAAACCAGGCAUUUAGAAUCACAAGAUGGAUGCAAAUGCCGGAGACUCUUAAAAGGCCAAAGGAUUUGAAGGACUCUGCUAAAGUAUGUGUAUUUCAAGGGAAAAACAUACUGCAUCAAACUACUAAAUAGUUGCAAUUUCCUAGUUUAAAUAUAAACAAUAAAUCUAAGAAUACAUUCAAUAACCAAAACUUUCUCCAGAACAUCUAGCAAUUUACUAAAAUCUAGACUUAGAAGAGAGAAGUGUUGAAUAGUAAUUCUCAAAAGCAUAAAUAGGAGGGAAAAGCUAUAAUAUGUUUCACGUAAUUUCUAACUAAGAGAAGGGAUAAAAGGCAGUAACCUUCACGAUAUAGUGAAGGGAAAAGCCCAUCAGGGGAGAUAACAACAGGCCCCUCUGGUAAAGCCUUCCCAUCCUGCAUUGAUACAAACCAGGUAAAGAUCAAUCGUGGAGUAGUCAAGAAUUUAAGCUCUAAAUAGUGAAUACAUUACUUGUUUAAGGUUGAAAAGAAAUUGACGGGUGUGAUACGCCUGAGAAAUUGAUCGUGCACUGAGAAAAAGCAAUUGGUACCCAUUUUCCUGAAAAGAUAUAAAAAUAAAUUAAAUUGGGAGAGUUCAUUGCAUCAUAAUUCAUCACAUACGAUCGUCCAACUAAUGAGGAUGGGAUAAAAGCUUACCUUAAUAGCAGAAAAUAAAUUUGUGACACCUGUUUGUGACCAAUCCAUUCCAACAAAGGGCAUGAAUUGACCCAGAACAUCCGACCUAAGAAAGUGACAGAAGAGGAAAAAGUAAAGAGAGUGAGCACAAGAGAGGAAAAAAAAGAAGAAAAAAGGGUAAAUAUUUGUUUAAGUCCCGUUUGAUAACUUCUUUUUUAGAAAUUGACUAAGAAUUCAAGUGUUUCUGUAAGGAAGUUGAAAGUCGUAGCUUGGAACUUGAGAGGAAACAAGCAUGAAUUUCAAAUUCAGAAAACUAAAAAUUAAAUCAUCGUCAAAUGAGGUUUGAGCUGUUUAUUGUGCAAGAACAUUUGGCAAAACAAGAAAGAACUCCAUUGACUGAAAAGCUAACGGUACAAAUAAGCCAGACUUGAACAAAUGAUAGAAAAGCAAGGAAAAUUUACUGUGGAAAAUUUCUGUUUUCAUUUUCUUUCUUUAAUGGCAAAAAAAAACAGUGAUUAAUUAAUAAUAGAAUGGAAAGUGAAACAAAUCACCAAUGUAAUAACAAAUAUGGGAAUCCUCCUACACUGCGUACAAACAAAAGAAAUACUAAAAUCAAAAGAUUUGACUUUCUUCAGCUAUAACCAAAAAUGGACUCUAGUUCAAUAGGUUCGACAUCUUCCUAAAAGUCUUCCUUUUCUUUACCACCGGAUGAUCAAAUAACAUGAACAAACUGCUGAACCGUACAUUUCUGAAGAGUACCACUCUUCUUUGACGUCAUUCCACCAAAAAUAAAGUUCAACAGCCACCAAACCAGCCAAGUAGUAAUUCAGGCUUCUCAUCUCUCAGUUACAUACUAUUUUGCAGCCCUAUUUAUACAAUGAACAGAAAGUUCAUCAUCAAAACUCUAUUCUGAAAAGUUUACCCAACCACCAUUGUAUUCUCUGAACAGCCAACAGGCGAAAAGCAUUUAUCUGAUUUCUUAUGAUCUGAAUUUCAAGGAGUCAGUGAUGGUUAAAUUCCUGCAUUGGCAAUACAGUUGGCUUGUGUUUCCCAAGCUUGCAUGAAAACUUCCUACUAACAUAGAAAUUAGGAAGUGUUCAAGAACUACCUAUUCAUGUUUAGUUCACAAAGGUUUCGUUUCUGCAGCUGGAGAAUUUAACCCUAAUAUAAUUUUCCCACAACUGAAUCGCUAAGUGAAUAAUGAAGAAAACUCGUGUACAAGAAACUUGAUUCCAGGGCUUUUUUUCUUCCGAUAAGAAACAAACGUCCAAUAUCAAAGAGAAUGUUAAUUUGAUGGCAGAAGAUUCUAAUGACUCAACCAAGUGCCCUGUUUUCAUUCUGGAAAGGUAUAUAAAGGAGCCAACAACUGGAGCAAAUAAUACCAAACAAGAGUUACUCUGCAUAAAUAAAACUAUGCUCAAAAUCAGUAUAUCACAUCCAAAAUCAUCAGGAUAAAAGAACAUACUUUGUUAUUGUCCCAUCCACAUCUGAUAUCACUACACGAGUAUUCCAUUUCCAUAAAUAAAUCCGGGCAUCAACCUAUUCAGAAACAUAAUCAUAAACAAAUGCAAAUAUGAAGGGAAAUAAAUAAAGAAAUAGGACAGGGGUGGCUGAAUUCUUCUUAUUAUUAUUAUUUAAAAAAAAAAAAACCUUGACCUGCUGCUUUCCAAGCACUGCAGUGUAAAAUGUGAAAGUUAUCGUGUUCCCCCCUUCCUUGAGAUUUAAGGAUGCCAGCUGCUCUGAUGUCGGUGAGAGGGAUUUAACCAUCUGUUUCUCUACCUUGUGCUUAACAAUGCUUGCUUCUCCAUCCAGUCCAUUAUUUCUAUCUGAAUCCUUCUUAAUAUCAAAAUCUAUGCAUCCAUCAACAGCUGAUUGAGUUCCUUUACUAGAAUUAGAUCUUUUAAAAGAGAAAGGCCAAAGUUUCCAAUUUCCAACUGGGUCAACAGUUGCUUCUGCUGGACUACCUGCACAAGUUUUCUCAAUGGGAUCAAGAGCUAUAAUGCGUUUCAUUACGAACAUACAUUCAUGUUUUCACUAAUAAUGAUCCUCAACUAAAUAGAGCACCUCACUCCAUAAAGAAUAACUGCCAAAUUUUAAUCAUAAAGAAAGGAAGCAAUAUAAUUCUUAAAAAACACAAAGGAUCAUUUACAUAAUCUAGAGCCUAAACAGUUACAAAAUUGAUGAAACAGUAAAGGUACUCAAAGAUAAAUUUUUACAAUAAGAUAUCUAAAUUAUCUUACCUGCUCCAGAGUUACGAAUAAUAUUUUUUCGUUCUUCUGAAACCCAUGGUUCUUCAGAUUUUGACCGAUCCUCUGCCACUUUCUCUUCUCCAUCACCACCAGUCUUGGAGCUUGCAUUAUCCUUACAAAAUUCCAUCCAGUUCAAUGGUUUUGAAUUUGAGUCCACAGAAUGGCUUAGAGGAUGAUUGAGCUUACAGACAAUUGAAUUAUCAAUCCUAGCCUGCAUAUUGGGUAGUGAAGCUGCCAGACGCUCAACUUCUUUACUAGAAAUUGGAUGACUUGGAGGAAUUGUGAUGGGACUUGUAAUCCUCUGAUUGAAGAUCUCUUGACUGUCUACAGAACUGCUUGUCACAUAACUUCUAUUUGCAAACCUAUCCUCUUCAUCAAUGCUACUUGGAUAUACUAAUGGAUAAUCUUCUUUAUCAUCGAAAUGUUGACUUUCUGACUCUAUACUCCCAUUAACCUCAGUUUUUGGAACAUCAAUAUCACUGAAAAGGAAUUGUUCAUCAUCUGAAUUUGUUGCCGGCAGUAUAUGACUUUCUUUUGUUGCAACUCUGUUAUCAAUAGAACUCAAAGAAUUUUGGAACUUGCUGGUCACACUUCCAUCUACACUUUUGUCAUCUUGAAAAUCUGAGCAGAAACUUGAACCUGUGCUAUCAAACUUCAAUUCUUUAACGGAACCAGGCAUUUCUUCUGUGGACACAAUUUGAGAAUAGGAAGCUUCAAGUGUUGGUGUUUUUUCUUGAUCCAUUGUGUUGCCUUCAUGAACAGAACUAAUACAAUGAUCCACUUGUUGAGAAGAGUUCACAAGGACUUCAACUUUUUCAGUCUCUAUUUCAAAAUCUCCUGCUACCACACUAGAUUCUGUAUCCUGAUCAAAAAAUUUGGAUAUAUCAGUGCUAAUAAAAAAGAGUCGCAUUAAUGGGAAAAAAAAUUCAGUAGACCUUCUAACCUUAAAGGUCAUAGCAACUUCUUUUUAUCAACUCUUUAUAUCGGUAAGAAUGCUAGAACUAGACUUUGAAUUUAACAAUCCUAUGAGUGUGUGACUGUUUUGUUCACGUCAGAAUAAAGCUUACCUCAAGAUGAACUUUAGUUGUCAAGUGCAAUCCCUCAGUUUGAAUAUCAAUGAUCCCAGAUCCUCCAUUGGUCAGAUGGGAGACUUCAUGAGUCAGUACCCUUGAAUCAUCCAUUGUCAACAUUGAUUGCUUGGAAGUUUCAUAGAACAUUAAAGAUUGCACUGCAUCGGAUUCACUCUUGUCUUCAGACAUGUUGAAUACAUGAGAAGCAAUAUUUGUUUCAUCAGAUAAGUGCUCCAUUAGCAACGAAAUUUGGGACUUGGAAUCUACAUUUUCAGCGAAGGUUCCCAUCGCCUGCACAGUCUCUUUUUCACUCUGUUGGAUAUCUAUUGGUGCAUAUUUCACUUCAUAUGUCCUGUCAAAAACCUUUUCCCCUAUAAUAGAAGUUUCAACCAUUUGAUCCUUGAUGUUUAAACUUGACAUUUCUCUAGUCACCUCAAUAGAAAGCUCUAGCUUUUCUGAUUCUAAUUGAGAGCCAUUUGUCACGGGCUUGUUGCAGGUGUUGUUAUCGAAGAUUUUAUCAAUACUAUUUCCCAUGUUAGCUUUUACAGUUGAUGUCACGUGGCUUUUCUCAUCAUCUCUCCUCAAAUUUUCCUCAUCCUUGCCAUCUGAAGUGUCAAUGGAAGAAAACUUAGAAGAAUCCGUUUUCUCAAGCUUUUGGGCGCGAAGAUUGGUAGACCACCUAACCUCUAAAAGAUCAGCUGCAAUUUCAGCACGCUCCAGAGAAUCUACCCUUGCAACAGAUGUACCCGCAUGAAGAUCUUCUUUCAUUGAUUUACGACCCCAUACAAAUCCAAGUAUCUGUCGCCGGGAGGUAGUUUUUGUCACUAUCUUCCCAUUAUUAUUACUCUGCUCGAUCCCAUCUAUUGAACUCUUAGUGUUAUAGUAGCAACUUUGUGAACUAAGGAUCCUCCUACCAUCCAGUUCCUGCAGUAUCUCAUCACCUGAAGAAGAAGGAUAUAAUCCAGGUUCUCCUUCAACAUCAACUUCCCUCAAAAAAUAAGCUUCUCCUUUAUGAUCUAAAUACAUCUGAAAAUUAGCUUCAACCCCAUUUACAACUAUGCUGACCACCUUCUCCUUCGUCUUCAAAACACCUUGAAAUUUUCCAAACUUUACAUACCAAGGUGAUGAUUUAAAACUACCAUCCUGCUGUUGGACUACAACAAUAUCCACAGCUCCACCAAACGGAUGAAAUGGCCCAGAAACGGUAUAAACACCCUUUGAAAUGUAGCUCCCUAGUAACCCCACAGCGUUCAUUGUCCAAAGUUGUGAUUUCUCAAAUCACCCGAUUUACAAAUCUCAAAUUCUGGCCAUCAUAUAAUAACCUGUACAAGUUCCCCAAUAAAACCGUGCGCCCAAUGUUUCAGCUCAAUAUCCCCAAUCAUAUACCUCCAAAACUCUUAAAACUAAAAGAGAAAACUAAACUACAAGUACAACUAGCCCAGAUCACAAAUUUCCAAUACAACGAUCUCAAUAACAAGCAGAAUCAAUCAAUUUAACCAAUCAAUCAAUUUUAUCUCCAGUUCCCCACUUACAACAAUUAUUAGAAGGAACCCAGAUGAUAAAACCACGGAGUUAACCAAUUUUGAAACAGUCAAACAAUUCAAAUCAAAGAAAGAACCGAACGACAGUAUUGAUGGGGCAAUAACCAAUAACCUGAAGACGCCAUUAAUCAGAGAGAGAGGGAGUCACCAUAAUUGUAAGGCUGAUUGAUAGGCAACUGCAACAGGUAUAAGAAAGAACCGCGAAGAAAAUACGCCGUUGGUAUGAUCAGAGCAUAUUCGCUUUUAAUUAUUCGAAUGUUCCUCCGCCAUUAUCCAAUUUUGCAGAACAAGAACAGCACGUGAUGUGCGAAACGUCGAAACCUUUGCACAAUUAAGGAUCCAAAUUUGGUGAAAUUAAAAAUAUAUAUAUAAAAUGAUAAAUACUGUCUUUUUGCUUUUAUUUUUUUUAGAACAAUAACGUCUUUUGGUUCAUCUUUACUUUUAUUAUUUAUUUUUUUACGAUCAAAAAUUACAAAACGGAAAAACUACCUAAAUUAUUGAUUUGUAUUCUUUUAUUAUUCCGGAAGAAACCAUUUUUUAAGUUAUGGUUAUAUGAAAUGUAAUAAAAUAUGUUUAACAUAUUUACAAUUAUAACAAAAUCUACUUUCUAUAGCGACAUGGUGAUAAAGUCAAAUAAAUAUCUAUUAUAAGAUGAUAUAUUGAUACAUUUUUAUUUGAAUUAAUAUUUCUAUCAUCCAUAGAAAGAGUUUAUGGAUGAAUCAAUAUCUUGUCCCAUUAAGAAGAUUCUAAGAAGUAAUAGGAAGGUUAAAAGGAACUAAAACCUACUACUUGUAUUAACAAGGUGUAUCUUUUUUCGAUGUCUCAUCAUAAGACUUUCAAAGUUAAAGCGUGUUUCGGGUAGAGAAUUUUCGAAUCUAUGUUAGUUUGUGGGGACAAGCAUUCGAAAACUUGUAAUGUCUGUCAUUUAAAUAAAUUUUCUAUUUUGGACAUAAGGGAGUUAAAUUAUUUUUAAAAAAAACGUCAAUAGAAAUGUAGCUAGAUAAAGAACUCCAUUUGGAUUGAGUUAUUAUGAUCCAAAUUGUAAUAUGGUUUGGUUGAAUUUUCAAACAUGAUUGAAUGAAUAUUAAACAUUUUUUUUUGUGAGACAAGCUUACGUUUGUAGCUGGAUCAGCUGAUGUAUCGAUCUGUUCAGUAUCAAUCAUCUCAAGAUAUUGGGCUAACAGAAAGUAGGAUUUGGAAAUUCUACAAUAGGCCAGUUAUAAGGUGUACGGCCCCAAAUUGACUCUUUGUACUAGGAAUUCGUUGGGGGCAGACCAGCGAAGGGUCAUGGCUUCGUGUUGCUUAUCUGGGCGACAAAUGACAAAAAGUCAUGAUCCCAUAAAGAAAUUUGAAAAAUAAAAAGAUAUGGGUAGAGUGAAUCUGAAGUCAAAUACCAUAAUUUUAGUGGCCAGUUUGCUCUCGUAGUCAGUGGAUCAAGAAACUAAUGUUAUACAUUCAUCAACUCAUCCUUGUUUUGGUCUAAUUAUGAUUGUUUCUGGUAUUGUUCAGAAUUUGGUAUCUGUUUUAAUCUCUUCUUUAAAUUUUUCAUGUUGUCUUUUGCCCAUUGGGGUUCGGUUAAACCAUUUUAGAUCAUUGAGUCUUCUUACGUGUUUAGGAAAACAGUUAGACGGAAACAAAAUAAGGGUGAGUAAAUUGAGCUUCGAUUCAUGUGGAAGAAGUUUAUUGAAAGCAAGUUUAAGAAUCUGUGCGCUGUUUUUGAUGGGUUAUGCAUGUUAAGUGUUUGAUUAAAGUUCUCUUAUAGAGCCUUGUGUUAUUUUUGCUUUAUAUCAAUUGAUUAACCAUUUGAUAAGCUAAAUGUGGUCGCCAGAAGCUCAAAUUCUGAGAAUAUAUAAUAUUAUCUCUUUUUGAGCCCCAACAGCCAUCACCUUUUUCUGUGGGGGCUUCCUUGAUGGAUGGCAGAGCAAGGAUCAGCCAGUUGUCUCUUUCAUUGAUCCUAGAAAAAUGGCAUUUCAUUCAUCUUUUAGCUAUGAAAUUCAAUGACCAUAUUGGAUUUUCUUAUUAAGAUGUGCACAGGCACCUUAUUCACACAGCACAUAUUCACACGACUGACUAAUAAAAGCAUUGCGGUUGUUCACUUGUUCACUGCUUUCUUUGUUUGUAGGCUUAGGGUGAUUUUGAAAAGACUGAAAGCACUUCUUUUAGAGCGAGGGGGAUUCAUCAGGUGGGUUUGAUAUAUGACAAUGCAAUAAUAAUCAUUAUCAUAAAAAAGGAUGGUCCUCCUCCUACUCACAUGAAAAAGGUAGCUUUUCUGUCAGUUGCCCACAUCUUUACAUUUUAUAUCAUUCGUUCUUAUAUUUUUUUAAUUUUAAGGAGGAAUAUUUUUUAAAUAGUAAAAUAUUAAAACUAUUUACAAAUAAAAUCUAACCAAUUUUCUUUAGUUUAUUUAAUCUUUUUAAUAUAGUUUUUUUUUUCUAUCCGUGACCAUUCCUCUUUUAAAAAAUCAUUUCAACUGCUGUGGAAGGCAUUGAUACUUUUUUUAAAUAUAUAUUUUAAAAUUUAUUAAGUGUUGGGUAAUUGGGUUAGGAUUAUCAAUAUUUAUACGAAGUCUUAGGUAUUAUUUCACUUGACCCCACACCCUUUUGAGCCCCAUAAUCUCUCUUUUCAGAGCUUUCACUUGUUUCGAUAUAUUUAGAAAUGGUUCAUCACUUUUCAACUUGUCUAUUUAUUUUAGGGACUUUGCCCCCUGAUAUCUUAAGCAAUGUUCUUGGGCAAUUACUCCCACACCUUUAUACUUUCUCAAUAUCAUUUUGAUCCUUUUAGGAAGUUUUAUAUAUAAUGAGGUAAUGUCGAUUGGAAAAUUAUUUACUGUCUCAUAACCAUAAGGGAGAUAUAAAAAACUUCAAAACAAUAAAUGGGCGUGGUAGAGAAAAAAAAAAUCUUCAGUAGAUUAAGACAAUUAUUGAAUUUGCUCACUUUUUCAAACUUACGUGAGAGCUAUGGUCCCAACGUUUUAUGUGGUUUUUGUCUGGCUUAUAAAUGAUUCAAAAAGACGAAAAAGAGAGUAGAGCUGGCAGAAGAGGAGUAUUUGUCUAUCCAAUCUUGGAUGGUUGUUUGAUUUAACCUAUGCUCAUGACCACUCGAUUCGUAAAGAGAUCACCAGGUCGAUGAUAGAUUCGUCACAUUUUCCUUUCUUUUGAAGGUUAGUAGAUCAAUCAACUUUUCUUGUGUCAUUUUCUAUAUUCUUAUCUGCUGAAUUCCUUGCCCCAGUUGUAAAAUCCAAAAUGUUAAUAAACUCUCUUCAAAUCAGAGCUUGUUUUUCCACAUUAUUAGCUUUUGUUCAAGGGUAAAUGAGAUUCAAUAACCAUUGUUUUGUACAAACGUACAUCUAAAUCUAAUAUUGCACAGUUGUGACUAUCCACCUGUUCAAAUGAAAUAAAUCUAAGUCAUCCGAAAAAUUGAAGAACCUGUCAAUUAAAACAUCUAAAAAUACUAAAGUGCAUUUUAAGCUACAAUCAUCUUUAUAUGUCAUGUAUUAAACUCUUCUUCCUUUUCCCUUUUCGGAUAAGAGUGAAAUGCACAAAAGCGGUGCAUCUAAGUAUUAUUCUUAAAACAACUCUUUUAAGUUACAUGAUCAAAAAAUCAUUGAAAGGGCCGGUGCACACUCAUUAUAUAUAUCAAACCGGACCUUCUGGACUGAUUUGCUAUCUCUUUUUGUCUAUAUACACGUACAUACCACGCACAUAAAUGCAGAAAAAGCAAAGAGGCUGAAUAAUUUUCAAUAAAGAAAUAGAAUAUGAUUUAUGAACAAAAUGUAUCCGCUGUAUAUGCUCUUUAACACUUGAGCCUUUCCUCUUUCAAUAUUGAAUUCUUGCAAUGAGCGAUUGCUGCUUGAAUUGCUGCCUGCAGCUCCUCCAUUGUGCUAUCACUAUUAGUGGAAGGAGGAAGCGUUGUAGUUGUAAGGAGAACACCACUAUUGGUUGGAGAUGUUCUCAUGGAAACUGGCGCUGAGAAGAACUCGCCUCUUCUUCCUCUCGAUUCUCGCUUCUUUCUCAACCUUAAAUUACCUGAAAAUGAAUAAGACUGUCUGUGUAGUUGCAUAUCAUCUCUUCUCCCUCUCAGGGGUAGAAAUGGCCUCACCAUUCUUGCAUAUCUCUUCAGUACAUUGCUCAAAUUGAAUCCCAACUUCCUUUUCUCCUGUUCCACUUUAUUUUCUUGCUCUUCAACGUCAGACCUCUUUCUCCACCUUAAACCGAGCAAGGAGAAAGAUUUGGACUUAGGUUUUUCUCUUGUAUCAUUUGUGUUGUUUUGGCAGUGUUCAUUGCUCUUGCAAUUGAUGAAGCUGCUACUUUCUUUCUUGGGCUCCUUUUCACUUAUUAGGUCUCUAAUGGGAAGGGUAUAGCUUUCCAUGGAGUUGGUUGAGCAGCGAGGAGGAACUGGAAGAUGAGAGAGGAGGUGAAGAGGAAGCAAAUGGCCAUGGAAGAAGAUGUCAUCUGCUGGUGAUAAAUCAAUAGUGAAGGAAGGUGAGGUUUUGGCUUUGUCUGUGGAGGAAGUUUGAAGAGAAACUGAGAAGGAAAAUUCAUGAGAAGGAGAUGAAGAUGCUGAAUGAGGAGAAGAGGAAUUAGCGGGCAAUUGUUGCUUCUCCAAUUGCCUUUCUUUGUCUUCUAGAUGCUGAUGAAUGUCCAUAACCCAAACCAGAAAGGUUUUGCUGACAGACAAUUGAUUCUGAAUCUCAAAAUGCCACUUCAAGACUUCAGUUUUAAGGACAUUACCAUAGCUUUAUGAAGGGAUAAGAAGAUUAGAGGGUAGAAAAGGAGAUGAUGGGGGGGGUCUGGCCUUUUUGCCUCUCAGCACUUGCUUAAAUUAAAUUCUUAUUCUUCUUUUUUUUCCUUUUCUUUUUUGGGAGCAGCACGUGUCAAGGAUUGGUGGGUCCUUGUCAAAUCUUACAGCUAUUGAGAGUACAGAUUUGGGAAAGAAAAAUCCAACAAACACCCAAGAAAAUUUCCCACAAAAGCCCAAUAACCUUUACAAGGGGGUACUGUUUUUUGGUAUUUGUUGCAUCAUGGAUCUUACCUAGGAAAGUAUAUGACAUUAGUCAUUAAUUAAACCCCCUUUCUCAAGAGGAAACUUCGAAGAACUCAUCAUAUUCCAUUGCUUCUCUGUAGAUCCUUUUUCUUUUGUAUUCUAUAAGAUGCAUUGAAUGAGACUACCCAUAUAUCUAUAAUUGAUCAGUAUUUUGAAGCAAUUAGGGUCCCAACUUUGCAUGGAAACAAAAUACUUACAAUCUCUUAUCGAAUCAUGAUGACUGUAUGAUUUACAAAAAUUAGGUAAGGUUUUGACUUUUUAUUAACGCAAGUUAUUAAAUAAUUGAUUUGUGUGUUGAUGAUAUUAUGAUGUACUAAUUUAUAAUAUGUCUUUUUAAAUAGGAGAAAUUCAUAUGCCUUUGAUAAGUACCUCACUGAAAUCUCAAAAUGGUGUACUGUCAGACGCCAGUGACUUAAAAUUUAAAAAUAAUUGGACCGAAAGACUUAUUACACUUGUUUCACGCCUCACUUUUCAUCCAAAGUUUUAACGUAUUCUAUUUUAAUAGUAGUUCUGUUGCUUGGUAGGAGAAGAUUGGCAUGGAGGAAUGAGCUGGCUGGUUAGAGAUUUCAGAGGUAGUACAUUGCGAGAGGUUGCAGUUUUAUUUACUACAGAUACCCAGUAAAAGUACCGCUUGAAGCCAAAGUCGUCCUGGAAGGUUCAAGAGAGUUGGAGGCUCUUUUGGAAGGGUAGAAAUCUCCGAUCCUGGUGAUUUUGGUUGGAAUCAUUUACUCUUGAAGUUAAUCUUUUCAACAGUUUAGAUUCGGAACUUUCAAUAGUCUCUUUUUUCGUUGAAGAGUCACACACUCUCUUGCUUACUUGUGAAUUAUAUUAUUAUGGCUUUUGUCAAAAUUUCAAGAGAGGGAAACAAAGGUGUUAAUGAUCACAGCUUUGACUUUUUUUUCUUCAAUUGUUUCUUUGGUGUGGCUUCACUCUUGACUCUCGUUCAAUGAAAGGUCCUUUUAGCUGUCAUAGUUAAUGAGAAAUAAAAUCACUUUAGGUGUCAUCUAUACCCCAAACGAAAAAACAAGUUUGAUAUUUUUUAAAAAAAGAAAUUGAUCAUAUCCUUUUAUUUAUAGUUUAAAAGAACAGAAUGUAUAAUUAAUCUAAAAGUAUUUAGCAAAAUUAUUUUAACUUAAUUACUCAUUUAAGAACAGAACUGCGGGUGCUUCUAUAAUUACUUCAGCAAAGCAAUACCAGUGAAGAAGUUUUAUUAAAUAAAGCACUCCAGUCUUAUUUUCUUAAUGAAAAUAUUAGUUUAAAGAUAGGUUUUUUUUAAAAAAAAUUAACCAUCAUCUUUUAAAGACAUUUCAUAAAUGUUUCAUGAGAGACUAACUAGCAUAAUUUGACAGUAACUUGGAAUAUGAAUUAAGAUCAUCACAUCGUUGUAUUACAAGUUUUGAAAGAAUAAUGAUACUCUUAAACAAGCGAUGAAGAUGUUAUUUAAGUUACCUUUACAAAGAUAGAUUUCAUACAAAGUAGUUUGGGUUCCUUUUUCAAAUUCGUGUUAAAAAAAAUGGAGAGAUCGUAUUGAUAGAGGAAUUUAAUUAGAUGGUAGACCCAAACACACGUGUAGACCAUGAAUGUAUAGCAUGGAAUAGAGAGGAAGAAUUGUCUAUAUCUCAAUCAUAGAGGCAUUAUUUUUGGGUGGACUCACUUAUCCCAUCUUUCAAACACCAUAUUCUUUAUUUUCAAUGAGAGAUAGAUAAAGAAAGAUGCAACAAAUUUGGCAAAAAAAACAAAGAUUUCGUACUCAAAAACCCACAGUGAGAGUGAUGGGUCAUGUGGAGAAACCUUUUCCCCUUUUUCUGCUUUUCGCAUUAACCCCUCACCUCAAUUUCUAACCUUUUUCUUUUAAUCUAUUUCUUCAAUCGUAAGCCAAUUCCAUUCUCCAUGGCUAUACAAUAGCCAAUUCCAUUCUCCAUGGCUAUAAAAACAACAAAUUUUAAAAGUUUUUUUUUUUUUUAAUUAAAGGCAAUGAUAUAUAAAUGAUCCAGAAAGUUUGAUACAUGUAAUCACAACUUUUUCAGCAUACUCAUAUCUCCAAUCACAACUUUUAUUAAGAAAAUAGUAAUUAAAAAAGCGAUUUACAUCUAAGUAUUUUCAUUCGUUUUUCUUAGUUGUUUAUUCUUGUAAAUUUUUAUAUGUUUUGGGUUUUUCUUAUAUUUUCAUAAAAUUCAAUUGGGAAUAAAUGUGGGAGCCUAAUUGAAUAGUAGUAUUACAUCUUAAAACCUUUCUUUCAAGAUUAUUGUGCUGGAGCCUAAUUCAAUCGUAUUUGACAUAUAUUUAUAAUUUUUUUUUCAAAGAAAGAGGCUGUUUGUGAGAUAAUUAUGCUAAUAAGCAAUUAAAAUCCAUCACAUAAGAGGGAAAGUGGUGACUCUGAUUGAUAAUUUUAGUUCAUAAGCUUACCUCAUUCACUACAACAGACAAUCACUAUUACAAUGUGCUUUCAUUUUCUUCUUAGACACAGAUUGUACAAGACAGAGAUUGCAUUUUACUCAAAAACCAAGAUGAUAAAAGUAGUUGCAUUAUGUGCACUUCCCAUCAGGCUACCUCUUACCUGAAAUGAAUGACAGCAUUUGAUCAUUUUAGAGUGGCAGGAGAACAUGGUGUUAAACGUGUAUUAAAAGAACAGGAGGACCCCAGCCAAUAAGAGGGAGGCUGGGUCUUAAUAUUAUGUUUAAAAGUUCAUUAAAAUUGAAGCAAUUACAGAGGGGCAUUCAUCAAAAUAGAAGGAAGUGAUUUUGCUUUAACAUUACCUGAGUUGGGGAACAGAAAUGUCAAUCAUUUAGCUACUGUUAGAAUCGCUAUCUUCUCUGGAACUGUUGGUCCUGAGAAUGUGUACCUGAAAAGAAAGAAUGGGAAAAAUAUAUUAUAUCUGUGAAUUAGUCGACCCACGCGCUAAAUAUAUACAGAUCAAACUCGUGAUUAUAAUUUUUUGAAAAAAGACUGAUUUAGCCCAAUGAACAUUUUGAAAAUAUAGACUCAACAUUAACUAAAGUUAAUGAUAUAGGGACUAAAAGGAACCUAUUGAAAAUAUAGGAAUCAAAACGAAUCAAAGCAAAAAGCAAAAUAAACCUUUGAAAAAAAAUGGAAUAAUCAAAGAAACGACUUUUAAAACCAAAACGUGCAUGGAUUUGAUGAGCUUUCUUUGGGACUUAGUAACCAAUCUCCUUUUGUGAUGUAAUCUACCAAAAAAGCUUUUCAAAAUCAAAAAUUUUAAUUUAGGUAAAACAGGAAAAUGAGCUUUAGAAAAUGAGAUAGAUGAAUGGAGAACAACCACAACCUAAUUUUUAAAGAAGUGACAGUGAACAAAAGAACGUGCGUUUAUGCAUAGAAGGUAUGCACAGAUACGGCAGACGAUGAUUCAAAGGAUCAUGAAACCUACCUUGCAUGUUGUAGGUUUAAUGAAUUGAAAAAUUACAGCAUCCCCAUCUGCCAACUUAUGAGCGACUGCAAAACCCUUCCAUCCGCCACUAAGUCCUGUUUUUCGUGCUAAAUAUAUUGUCGGAUACUCAUCACCAUCUUCAUCUAUUAAAGUCAUUACUCCAUCACGAUUUGGAAGGCGAUUCUUGCAGAAAUGAGAAGGAAGACCCUGUGUUUACAAGUAUUUUUUUUUAUUAGAUGUUAUCUAACAGAAGAAGAAUCUUUACAGCCUUUUCAUAUUCAAAUACUCAAGCAAAACUUUAGAAAAUCUACCUUCUUCAUUGAUUUCAUAUCUUAGUAUCACACACUCAGUUCAACAAGAUUAACAGAGAGAGGGAGAGGGAGAAGAAGGUCAUACGCUUAACAAAUAGUCCUCACUAGCUUACCAGCCAGAAUCCACCACUAACAUGAGACUGAAGCAUUGACUUUAUAAAACUGGGAUAAUUCGGCUCCAACCCAGAUUGCAAUUGUUCAGCUCUUUCAAAAGCUUCUUUUCUUGCUUCGUCCGAAGCAUAAACUCGAUUUGAUAAAUCUCUAGCUUUAGAGAUCCUACAAUCCCCAAAAAAUGCACAUCAGUAACAACAAUACUAUUCAUUCAACGAUAUGAAAGUCAUUGAUUUUCAUUUAAAAUUCUUUAGAUACCUUCUAGGAAUCACCACGCGAUUAAUAAUAACCUGCCAGAUUAAUUAAACAGAAAUGAAAACCGAACUAAUGAAAAAUGGAUUUUGAGAACAUAAAUCUCUCUCCAGAGAAAGCAGCAGUAAACUGUAAUCCAUUAUCCAAGUGCGCAAUAUGAGACAAGAAUGACUCACUUCGGCGUAAACAGGAGCUGUCUGUUUAGCUACUCGACUGGAUCUCCUCACCACCACGAGUUCUUUCUGAGUCACGCGAGGCUUGGUGAGCUUACUCUGCGGAUUGGUCAAGUAGCAAAAUAAGCACAAUACAAGAAUCCAUUGAGAAUAAGAUCGUAAUAGGAGACAACGAAACAGAAAAAAACCAAAAAAACAAAGAAACAAUGAAUUACAGGUGAGGACUUGGAAGGGGAAGAAUCGAUGAGAGCUUGAGAAAGCAUGGGUAAAUUUAGGGCUUCCAUUCGCUUCUUGUUUUCUUCGAGUCUCUUGCGACGACAUUCCUCAUACGAGAGGUUUGCGAUCCCCAUAGUCUCUUCUUCCUCCUCCUCGGUUCGUAGGGUUUGGACUAUAUGCGAAAUGGAAACAGUGAGAUGAUGAAUAACAGAAACGACUGAAUUUUGUAUAUUUGGCGAAAUUUAUAUAAAUUAGUUUGAAGGAGUCGACCGUUAACUUCCCACUUUUUUGAAAAAAAAAACGAGCACUGAUUUUAAUUUAGGUUAAAAUUGGGGUCUCUUCGUAAAUAAUAAAAACAUCAGAAGCAUUUACAAAACAUAACGAAAAAACAAAAAAUUUCCCUUAAAAUUGUUAAAUUUUGAAUUUUUUUUUCCAUAUUUUAAGUUAAAGGAUUGCUUUGGUUCAAAUAAUUAAUUUUAGUGUAUGUAACUUUAAUUAUCUAAUUUUAAUUUACUUUUUUUUACUUGUAUCGAAACCGGUUAAAUAAUAAUAAUCAUAAUAAUAUUCAUGAAAUAAAAUAAUAUGUGGUUUUCAAACUUUAUAAUAAAGAUGUUCAUUGAUAAAAAAAUAUAUAUAAAAAACUAAUAAUCAAGUAGGAUGAAGACCUAAAUUUGAGCUUUAUCGAGAAUAUAUAAGGAACUUUUGCAAGAAUAAAAAAGAAAAAUUAUGAUAAUCUAUUUUCUAAAUUUGUAAAAAUAGUAAAUUUGAAAGUGAUCACGGUAUGAUUACCAUAUUAUAGUUUUUCGAUAGUCUUAUGAUUACUAUAUGAUAUAACUAAUUUUAUCAUUUUCGUAAUAUAAAAAAAAUGUUAUCAUGAGCUGCUUUUCUAUAAAUAUUUUUGUCAUUUUAUGCAAUUUCUCACUCUAUAAACUAAACUAAAGAAUUGAACCAACUUAAAAAAUGCCCAUGCAGACAUAAAUAGUAUGGUAGAAAAUCUUUAGAAUUUAGUUUGUUGUUUGUUAAUAUUAUUCCAAAUAAAUGUAGUUUUUAUUAGCAUUUCCUUUAUAAAAUGUGUAUGAAAAUAUACACCUAGUACUUCUUUUCCACUACGAAAAAUGUUAUUAAUAACCUAUUUUAACAAAUAACAACUUAAAAAACCUAAUUUAAGAUUUAUGGAGAGUAUACUAAGUAAAAUUGCUUGAAAGUACGAGUUAAAAUUAGAAUAGAAAUUGAAGUAAUCAAUGCUAUUUUAACCUUUAUUUAUUCAUCUAUUUUAUUGGUGUGUAUAAAAAAAAUAGCUCAAUUUUUUUGGGGCUAAAUUAUACAAAAUAACGAAGUACUGUUCAGAUUCAAAAUAAUAGAGCUAGCAUACUUUUAAAUUGCAAGGUAAAUACAUAGUAUAUAUGAAAUCUGUAAGACACUUUUCUAAAUACCCAAUGUGAAAGUCACAAUUGUAUGGAAUAAAUAAUAUAUGUGCUAAUUUGAUCGUUACAUAUCAAAUUAAAGCAUCAACAAUUACACAUACACACUACCCCAUAUGUCACCCUAAACAUAAUCAGUUCUAGUAAUUUGAAAUUACAAGAUAAUUAACACUCCAUAAAUUUAUGCUAAUUAGAACUAUUGGGACUCACCUAUCCACCGUUCACGUGUUUCAAAUAAAAUUACUUUUAGAAAUCUAUCCAAAUGUGCCCUUCGUUUUGGACUUUCUGGAGAGGAAUACAAAAUAUUACUCAAGAAACCAGUUUAAGAGCUAUUGUAACAAUGGCUUACACGGGGGCCAUCCCACUAGAAACCUUCAAGGCUUUUUCCCAAUGAAAAUCAGCAAAAUCUAUCAGAUAGCAAGUAGUCUACUAAGCUAAAACAAAAAAAAGGGUUUAACAAAAAAGAGAGAAGAAAAAUGUUAGGAACAAGGGAGACUUGAAUGCACACACCGCCCCCAAAUAUAAUUCAGCUGAUACAAGAUUGUACAAGACACAGAUUGCCUUUUACUCAAAAGAAAUUUGCAAAAAAGUAGUUGCAUUAUGUGCACAUCUUCCCCAAGCCUCUUCAAAUUAUCACCUGAAAUGAACUGGAGCAUUUUCAGAAUAACUUUAGAGUAGGAGAUCAUGAUCGUACACUAAGCACAAUCAUGCACCUGGAUAAAAACUGGAAGGUCAAAAGAGCUUCUUAACCAAUUAGAAUUUAAGAGUAUGCCAUAUGAUAUUUAACUAAGUUGUUUUGAAAAUUUAAAAAUAUUCAAAACAUUUUAUAAUGGUAUUCUUCAAGAAAAUUGCUUCACUUAAUUAGAAGCACCAACCCUGAAAUUCCAAACUUGUUUUGUGCAAUUUCAUGCGGGCUGAACGUAUACUGUAAAGAUAGAACUAAUAAUCUCAGAGCAUUUAGAGAAUUUAGAAUUAGUAAAAUUUUAUUUUAAGAUUACCUGACUUGGGAUAAGAAAGUAAAUCAUUUAGCUAUUGUUAGAAUCACUCUCUUCUUUGGAACCAUUCGCUCUAAAGAUGUACACCUGAAAGAAAUAAUAAGGGAAUUAAUAUUAUGUGAGUGAAUUCAUGCGAAAAAACAAAAACAAAACAAUUCCUAAAUAUCUGAAAGAGUAAGGGACCUUUUAUUAGUCUGUUUUCAAUCUUUAAACAUCUUUUUCUACAUGGUUGAUGGUAACACUCUCCUCUCUGUGUUGUAAGCCACAGCCAAAAUUAUCUUUAAAUCUUAAUCUUAGACAAAAUUCCAAAACUAAAAAUAGAUAAUGUUAUAUCUAGUAGCUAUAAGGGAGCAUGCAGAUUCUGCAAUCCAUGUUCAACUUGUUAUUAUGAUGUAGUCACAUUAUAAUAACUUGUCCAUACAUGAACACCAAUAUGUAGUGAUUGUUUCAGAAAACGUAUGCAGACAAGACAAAAGGUCGAAGAAUUUUGAAUCAAGUAAAGAGAUGAAGUGCAAUCACCUUGCAGGCUGUAGGUUUAAUGUGUUGAAAAACCACAGCAUCUCCAUCACUUAACUUAUGAGCAAUUGAAAAACCCUUCCAUCCACCACUAAAACCUGUUUUUCGUGCCAAAUAUAUUAUUGGAUACUCAUCACCAUCUUCAUCUAUUAAAGUCAUUACUCCAUCAUUCUUUGGAAGGUGCGUCUUGCAGAAAUGAGAAGGAAGGCCCUGUGUUCAAAAGCAUUCUUUUUCCAAUGAUUUAUGAUUUAAUGAACUAAUAUCACAUACAGUUCAACAAGUUAAUAGAUAAUCUUAAUAGAUAAUCUUUGCUAGCUUACCAGCCAGAAACAACCACUAACAUGAGACCGAACCAUCGACUUUAUACAGCUGGGAUAAUUCGGCUCCAAUCCAGAUUGUAACUCAAGAGCUCUUUCAAAGGCUUUUUUUCUUGCUUCAUCCGAAGCAUAAAACUGGGCUGAAAAAUCUCUUGCUCUGGAGAUCCUAUAAUCCCGAACAAAAGAAAGCUAGUAACAAUGCUAAACGAUCCAACUGUAUGACGAAUCUUUCAUCUUUUUUCCAAUCAGUUUUCAGUAGAAAUACCUUCUAGGAAUCGCCACACGAUCGACAAGAACCUGCCAGUUUAAUUGAAAAGAAAAGAAAGCAAAACCAAUGUAAAGGGAUUUUGUGGUCUAGAUUAUACGAUUCAAAACAAACAGCAGUAAACCCUAGUUCAUCGAUCUAAGUAGGUUUAGCAUAAUACUGAUGACUUACUUCAGCGUAAACAGGCGUUGGUUGCUUUGCUACGCGACUGGACCUCCUCACCACCACCAGUUGUUUCUGCAUCACGCGAGGCUUUGACCUGCUUACUCUACAAAUCGGUCAAAUAACGAAAUAAGCUCAAUGAUCCAUGGGAAAACAUGAAUGAGAAAAAAAGAAAAAAAGAAAAGGAAAUGGAAUUACAGGGGAGGAUUUGGAAGGGGAAGAAUCGAGGAGAGCUUGAGAAAGUAAGGGCAAAUUUAGGGCUUCCAUUCUCUUCUUGUUUUCUUCAACUCUUUUCUGACGACAUUCCUCGUAUGAGAGGUUUGAGAUUCCCAUGGUCUCUUCUUCUUCUUCUUCCUCGAUUCGUAGGUUUUGGCGAAUAGAAGAAAUGGUAAGAUUCAGUAUACUCGAGAAUUGGGGAAAUUUCAAUUUCGUACGAAAAUUGUCACAGUCGACCGUUAACUUCUCACUGUUUUGGAAAAAUAACUGGAGGGAAGUACUCAGAUUUGAACACCAUCUUUAUUUUAUUUGGUCUCUCAAAUUUCAUCAAUAACAUUUUUAAAAUUCCAUAGAGAUGUGAACCUUCAAAUGUCAUAAUAUUGUUCACUUAUCUACUUGUAGUUUUCCUCCUUUAAUAUAGUUUAAAGUUGUA
rnacentral:lncRNA from 1 species